rnacentral:lncRNA from 1 species
CGGGCAAAGAUAAUUUUACUAUAAUGGCAAAAGAACGAAGAGUACAAAAGAUGGAGAUAAAACUAAACCCUAAAAACCCGAAAACAAAGAACCCUCAAAACUUAAACACAAAAUUCUCUAAAUGUGUUAUGAGUUCUAAUAUCUAAUGGGUGUCUUUUCUAAGGUUGUAAAAGAGCCUAUUUAUAGGCUAAAUUCAUAUGUCAAAUAAUAAUAAAAUAAUCUAAACUAAUCAGUGUUUGACUGAAAUAAAUAAACAGAGUUUAACUAAAAAAUUAUUUUUCAAAAUUGACUGAAAAUAGGAGUCAUACUUAACAGAAGUCAAUUCAACCAAGCUAUCACUUUUCAAGUUUGGAAUAUCAGUCGACUUGCGAUGAAUUUUUGGAUGGGAUCCAGAUAUUUCUGGACUGAGAUAUCUGCAUAGCAUUUGAAGAGUUACCUCUUAGAUUUGAAACGCACUUUGAAUCAAUCGAUUUCAAGUCCAGGAGGUCAAGUUAUGAUCAUUUUACUGAAUACUGUGUGAGUAGAAUUUUUGGAUAGAAUUAUUACAAGAAAUUACGAGUUUCGGACUUUAAUGCAAGUUGAAAUCAUAUUGUGUUCGAUUUUUAGGCUUAAAUUUUAUUAUAUAUGAGUACAAUAUUGCAUUUAUUAAGUUUUAUUAUUUUAUUAUUUCUUUAUUCUGAAUUUUAGGAUAUUUUUAAGUAUUUAAAGUUGUUUAAGAGUUUUAUGUUUCUUAGUUAAUAAGAAAGUUUAGUUUUACUAAAACUACUCAUUGUUUAGAUUAAUUACAGUUUCAUUAUACUUGAGAGUUUUAUUUAGAUGUAAUUAUCUAGCCUAUAUAUUGGUCUUUUCAUUGUUUAUUAAAAGCAUUGAUAAAAUUGAUUCAUUCAUUAAUAAAAUUUUCAACUCUAAAAGUUAAUUUCUUUCAUGCAGGAUUCUUUUCUCGUGAUUUUUAGAAACGAUUUUUUCCUCUUGAUUUUCUUCAAGGAUUUGUGGGAAUCCAUUCUUAAUCCUUCAAUUUGCCAAAAAUUAUUUCUUUGAUAGUUGAUUAGAGCCUUUAAUUGAAUUUGUUGGGGUUUAUAUUUGAGGUCCAGUUGGACAACUAUCUUCUAUUCAUAUCCAUCGGUUUAGCAGUCAAAUAAAACUCACAUUCCUUUCCUAGGAAUCUACCUAGUGCACAGUUCUCAUUCACUUCUUUAUUUUUACCCUUUUUGAUAUUUGCUUUUAAACAAUGAGGACAUUGUUUCUCUUUUGUGGGGGGACCAGAAAUAAAAUUUUUGGCUUAUGACGAAAAUUAAUUUUUUUCCAUCAAGUUAUGUUAUAGUAAAAUAUUAUUUUAUGUAUAAAAUUUUAUUAUUUCAAUUAUUUUUAUGCUAGCUUAGUUAUGAUAAAAAAUGUUGAACUGAGUAAUUGUGUAUAAACCAUACCAUGAAAAUUUUUAAUUCCUUAGAAAAACUAAGCAAUCAUGAAAGUUUAAGUCUUUAGAAUUGACUUAGUAAUUUCCUUAAGGCGAAAUACUAAGAGGCAUGGUAAUUUGAAAAUGAUUUAGGCAAUUUUUGUUUGGACCAUUUGAGCCUUUCAAGCCAACCCUAGUAAUAAUUAUCUAUUGAAACCCUACUUUAAGCUAUAUAGCCUGAUGUUUUUUUUCUGAACCUUAUAUUAAUAAGUCAUCCUUCCUUAAAAUUUAUCUCUAUCUGUCCCAAAUCUUAGACUCAGUCCAACUAGAAUGUUUUUGUGAUUAAAUUUGGGGAGUUAGAGAGAAGUGUUUGAUUUCUCAAAAUAUUGAGUUGUAUGCUUAAAAAAGCAUUAGUGAUUGCUUAAAAAAUCUAGUUAUUGAAAAAAAAAUAUGUACAGAGAACAUGUGUACUCAAACUCAAAAGAGUUGGUGUUCUUGGGGAUAAUUGUAUUUGGAAGGUUUGAGGUACACUGAGUCUAAGAUUUUAGUCUAAAAAUGAUCUAUCAUUUUCCUACCUUGACCCAAGUCAUAUUACAACCAUAUUAAAGACCUAUUGAUUAAACUUUAGGAUUACUACUGAGUUCAACCAAGGGAAAUAAAUUUUGUUUGGGAAGUACUAAGCACAUAUUUGUUAAGGGAUGGUAUUUAGUACAUAGUUUUGUUAGUAUAUUAAUCUUUGAAAAUAAUUGAGUGAUAUAGGCACUCAAGUUGCAUGUUUAGAAAUUUUUUAUUCUUCAGCAUAAUUUUGCUAAACACAUAACUAUAGGAAUGAUUGAUUUCGUUUGAAGGGAUUUUUGCAAAAGUGGCUCUUUGGUUUCUAAUGUAAGUUAGCAUAUAUCACCACUUGGGAUGAGCAAUGAAUUAAGUUUGGGGGUAUGAUAACUCAAAAUUAUAUAGACAUUUACAACACCUUCUGACUAUUAAUUCAUGCAAAUUCUGAGUAUUUUGAUAGCAAAUUUUGUAUUUUUUCAUUAAAAAUUUGUAAAGUAGAACAAAAUUAAAGAUAAAUUUGUAAUGUUAUUUAUUUCCAUGCUAAUUUUACAUAUUUUUUUUCCAGUUUGGCGCAGUUUGGUGCAAUAGAAGAAAAGUUAAUCUUGAAGCUCACCUAUUCGAUGCUUGAUGAUGUAACAUUCCUGCAGUAGAGGCCAUGCAAACGUGGGUUGAUGGCUAAACAACAUGAGACAUCCUAAAUUCUUUUAUUGGACCUUUAAAUUCAAUUUGAUCCAGCUCCCAAAUGGUUCACAAAAAUGGACAAGCUUGCUACCAAAUAUGAAGCCCAAAUCAUCCACUAAGGGAGGAAAAAGCCUAAUUCAACCAAGGGAAGUCCAACCGUCCAUAAAAGUAUUUAACUUUGCCUCCCAAGACUUGGUAAAAUAUCACAGAUCAGUCACAACAAAUUUCCCAUGAUCGUUCAACUCCCAUCCCUAUUUUAAGGUGCCUUCCCAUGAAUCAAGUAAGAAGUAGCUAAAUUUAGCAAAGUCAUUCACCUUCCUUCCUUAACACAAGGGGUCGACCAUUUGUGAGAGAAAUGAGGGGGAUUAUAAUUCUAAAAAUAGAAAACUCAAGAGUUGUAAGGAGUAUUUAGAAGUUCUUGUGAGUAGCAAAAAUUCAGCAUUUAUAAGGCAUUUGUGUGAAGGAACAAAGCAAAAAGAAUGAGGAAAAGCAAAUAAAAGUUGUGCAGCGGAGAAACAUCGCAUUUGUCUCCUAGUUCCUUUUUCUUAAUUCUUUUGAUUUUGUUCUAAACUUAUGAACAUGAUUGCUAAAUAUAUUUCUGCUUUUUAUUUCAUUAAAAUGGCUUAAUUUUGUUUAUGUUAGAUUGAUUGCAUUUUUUUAGCUUAGAUUAUUAGAAUUUUAUUAAUGAUGUUAUGUGCCUUGGUUGCUUAUUCAUUCAAAUAAAAUCAUGAACAUGUUAUUCGUGCAUUAUAAAUAUUGGGAUGCAAUUGAAUUAAUUAUUAAAUCAGAACCAAAUUGUAAUUAAUUGACACAGUAUCUGAAUGGUGCAUGUUUGACCAUUUUAUGAUGAAAUUAGGUCAAAUUAGUAAUAAUAUCAAAAGAACUUUAUUACCUUGCAUAACCCUAAGAUUAAUGUGAUUAAACUAUUUCGGUAUAGAAAUAUUACCAUUACUUCACAUAAUAUGAUUUCUACUUAUUAAAAUACUAAGUUGAUUGAACAUAGACAUAUGCUAGAAAAACUUAAUUAUUUAAUAAGUGUAAUUUCUUAGACGAUACCUAGAAAGGUAAUCUUGAAGUUAGACUUGACAUAGAAAUAUGCAUGGAGACUAAAAGGUCAAGCUUAAGUCUUCGAGAGAAGCCAAGCAUUCGUAAAUAAUAACAAGCUUAAGUCUUUGAGUUUAUUUAGGAUCAUUCAUCUCAUGAAAUUGUGUGAUAAUGUGUGGUAUUGAUUUGGUAUAUAAAAUAUUUGUAUAGAUCAAGAAUUAGACCAAAGUGGAGUAAAUAAAGGAAAAGCAUAAUGUAACACCCCUAACCCGUAUCCGUCACCGGAUUAGGGUUACGAGGUAUUACCAGUCAUAUUACAGUUCAUACAGAUAAUCAUUACAUUUCACAACUCGAAAUUCAAUCACAUCAAUGCUCGUAACUUAAUCAAAUAUCGAGUCUUGAAAUCAGAACAAUCAUAACAUUGCAUAAUUAAAACAUAUUCAUAUCAUCUAUAUAACCACAUAUUCGAAUUAUCUAAUGUGCAACAAAGCCAAGUUACAUGUACUUAAUACAUAUAAAUGUUCGAACCACAUGACUCUAAUAUUAAUGGCAUUUGUAUACUUAAAACAUAUCCUAGCAUAUAUCAUUACAUUUCAUACAUCGAAUAUAUGUCACUAUAUCUAUUUCAUUAGUUGAAUAUCAAACAUAUCAUUUCAUAACUUCUGCACAAGCACAUAAUAAAACCAUUCGAACCAUAUUACAUUAAUUAUUAUGCAAUCACAUAUGCGACUUUAGUAAUAUUACAAUAGGGCCAAACAUACUUUUGAUGCAUAUAUAUAUAGUGCGCAUUUCACCCUAAAAACAAAAGCCACAUUUAACAUUUGAACAAAAAUAACAUUCCAAUGUACACCUAAUUCGCAUAUAUAUAUAUAUAUAUUAGUAACCCUAACUUCAUAUUUCAUCCUAUUAACUAAUCAUUGAUUCAGUCACACCAUUAUCAAGAUCAUAUGCUUAUCAAAAUGAACCAAAUAUCGUUACCGAAUUUACAACCACACAUGUACGCGUACCUAUAUUAAUAUUAACAUCAACUUGACACUUUUAACUAUCCAUUAAAAGCUAACCAAAACAUACCUAAAUCAUAACCAUCAUUUACCAUUUGGAUCCGUACCAAAACAAUCAACCAAAAAAAUCAUGAAACAUAUUCAUUACUUGUCAUUUAGCAACCAAACCUAUAUAGCCAAUAUACAUUCAAAUACAUAUUCAUCAUAUUACCUCAUUACUAAGCCAAAUUAAACAAUCAUCCACCACCCAAAUUAUUCCACAUUCCAUACUUCCAAAAUAAGCUAAUUAUUAAGCUGAUUAUACAUCAUACUUACCAUUUCUCAUUGCCAAAUCAUAUAACCAACAUCACAAACUUAUAUACCAAGAAACAUACUUCCAAAAUAAGUUUAAGUCAUAGCCACAUACACACAAGCUUUAACAUUAUAAUCAAGCCAUGUUCACAUAGCUAUCUAUAUACAAAUUUCAAAGCCAAACAUAUAAAAACCAGCCUAUACAUGCCAUAUGUUUAUAGUUUCAAACUUCAAAAGUACCGAGUAAUAUUCGAUAGUGUGACGAUGAUCCUAGACGAUCCCCAAGCUCGUAGCUAGCUUUCAAAAUCUAUAAAACAACAGACAAACACACAAAGUAAGCUUGGAAAGCUUAGUAAGUCAUAAGCAAAUAAAUUAUCAAAUGAACAUUAGCAUGAUUAUUUCAACAUGGUCGAAUAUGAACAAUCUCAUGUACAUAAUGGUCAGACCUUUGACAUGUAUAAUUCAUAUCAUCAUCUCAAGUACUAUACUUACCUUAUUUUCAUGGACAUUUAACUUCGAACGUACCUGAACCAUUUAGUUCAAUUUCACAUUCGAUCUUAACUCAACAUUGCCCGUUAAACCAUUCGAAAUCAAUAAGGAUACUCGAAUAGCUCGAAAAGCUCGUACACUACCAAUGUCCCAGACGAGGUCUUACAUGUAAUCAAAUGUCGAUGCCACUGUUGCAGACAGGGUCUUACACAAAAUCAUAUAUGAUGCCAAUGUCCCAGACAUGGUCUUACACUUAAAUCUCAAAUUGAUGCCAACGUCCCAAACAUGGUCUUACAAGAAAUCACAUAUCGGAAUCCUAUGUCAUGACAUAUGUAUCCUAACUAUUCCUAUGGUUCGUACUGGGCUUUCGGACGUCAUAAUUCGAUCGAUUCAAACUCGUAACUAGUUCUCCAAUGCUUAAUUCAAUUUGGCAUAUACACAUAAAUUUAUUAUAAUUCAAUUUUGGCACAUAUAAUACAUAUACAUUCGAAUUUAACAACAUUUAUUUACUUAUGAACUUACCUCGUACGGAGACGAAUGGACCAGAACGACUAUUCGACAACUUUUGAUUUUCCCCGAUCCAAUUUCGUUUUCCUCUUUUCUUGAUCUAAAUUAAUACAAAUUUAACUCUUUUAUUCACCAUUCAAUUUAAUCCACAUAAUCAUAUUUAAGGCAUUUUACAAAGUAUCCUUUAUAUUUUCACAUUUUGACAUUUAAGUCCCUAAUUCACAAAAUUACAAAAUACACAUAAUUUCAUUUUACACAUGCUAGGUCGAAUGUUUAUACACUUCAUAUAUGCCCAUAUAUUUCCUUUAUUUCACAUUUUAACCCCUCUAUUUCUCAUUUUCACAUUUUAGCCCAAAAUACUCAAAUUCAUCAAAAAUCCAAACACAAAACAUAUUAAUCUCAUACCAAGCUUUCAUAAUUCAUCAAUUAACAUCAUUAAACUCACAAAAUCAUCAAUGGCACAACUCAAAAUCAUUAUCAAAUUCUGAAAUUGAGGCAUGGGCUUAAGAAAACACAUUGCAACGAUCACAAAAAUGUUUUAAUUGUCAAAAACCGAAACAAAAACAUACCUUGAUUAAGCUUGGAUAAGGCCGAAUAGAAGAAAGAUUUAAAACCCUUAUUUUCUUUCUAAUUUUGGUGGAAGAACACUUGAAAAUGAUCAACAUUUUGGCCUUAUUCACUUUAUUUAUUUUGAUUUAAAGAAUUACUAAUUUAACCUUAAUGAAAUAUUAAUAUAAAACACUUGAAUCAUGGACAUAAAUGUCCACUAGCCUUAUAAUGGCAUAUUAACCUUUUAAGGACUUCCCAUAAAUCAAAUCAUAACAAAUUAACAUAUUUACAAUGAGAAUGUCACUUCUACUUUUUAUGGGUUUAGCCCUUUUUUGCAAAUUAAGCAUACAAACGGAUAUAUUAAAUCACGAAAAUUUUACACAUGUCAAUUCACAUACAAUAAGCAUAGAAAAUAAUAUUAAAAUAUUUUUUGACUCGGAUUUGUGGUCUCAAAACCACUAUUUCGAUUUGGCUAAAACCGAGUUGCUACACAUAAAUUGUGGAUUAGUCCCUGACAAAUCCACCUGUAUUGUGUUUUGAAAAGGUAAGUUCAUAUCGAACUUACUACUCUUCUUUAGGUUAUAUGUAUGCUUGUGUUUAUUCCAUUAUAACUAUGUUCGAACAUAACUUUAAAUGUUGAUUAAGUUGGCAUACAUGGCUAGAAAAUGAAAUGGAAUUGAAUUGAAUAAAAAUGAAUUAAGAUUGAUGAUUGAUAUGACAUGGUACAUGGUAUGAUAUGUAAAUAUGGAAAAUUAUAGGGUAUGAACAUGUGAGCAUGAAUGAUUACAGGGUAUGAUAAUGCAAAUAUGUAUAAUUGAUGCCCAUGUGAACUUAGUAAAAGGUUAGGAUAUGAUUGGCAUGUCAAUAAGGUCAUUUGCACGCUUGUACGGGAUAUGUGAUGAUACGGAGAUUAUGACAGGAUAUAUCGAGACUUGCAUUUGUUAUGGAUCAUCGAGCAUUAUUUGUCCCUACAGAGACUUUGAUGUGGUAGAGGGAAUUAAUUGAAAAUGUUUAUACAUUUGAUUCCUACGGGCUUUGGAUUUUGGUGCCUUGGUGUGGUAUAGUUAAGCUCUUACAAGCUAUCUGACGUGGUGUAGUUCACUCGUGUAUCCGAGUCUAUUUUUCUAGGGUUCCAUUGGGAAAAAUGUUGAAAAUGGAUCUUGAAAUAUAAAAAAAUGAACCAAUUUAAUGUGUUAUUAUGAUUCGUGAUUCAAAUUGAAAUGGCUUGAUCUUGUAAAUUGAUAAUGUAAUAUGAAAUGGUAAUGAUCUUAAUGAAAGUAGAGAAAUUGGUGAUAAACCUAUGUGAAAUGGUGAAAAUUGGUAAUGUUUGUGUUACUUUUAUCAUGUUUAAUGCAUAUUAAUACUCAUGAUUUUUGUGUAUACCUUGUUGUGACCUAGAGUGUCAUCUGCUAGCUAAAUGUAUGUAAUGGCCCAAAUUCAAGGUUAUCGGAAUAGUAGUAUUGUAACCACAAAUUUGAUUUAAAGAGAAAUUUAUUUUAAUAUUUUUGUAUGAAUAUUGAUAUGAUAGGAAAAUCGUAUGAAAAUAUAGAUAGAAGAAUUUUACCAAUUUAGUGGUUAGUUAGAAAAAGAAAUUACUGAAGAAAUUGGGUAAAAACAAGGUAUCGAGACCUCGAUCUCGUAAAAUCGAGUCAAAAAUAUUUUUAUAAAUAUUUAUGAAGUGUUAGUAAUAUGGUAUUAAAAUUUCGUUAGAAAAUUUUAAUGUUUGGGUAGUCAAUUAAGUGAAAAGGGCUAAAUUGAAAAAGGUGUAAAAGUUACUAGAAGGAUUAAAUAGCUCAAUUGUUAAAUGAGGAGGGACAUAAAUUGCAAAUAAGCCCAAAAGAAGAUAUUUUGGGCGGCAUACGCUGAGAAAAAUCAGGAAUAUUGAAGAAUUAAGGGUAAAAUUGGAAUAUUGCAAAAUUUACUUUAAAAGUUAGGACUAAAGUGGAAUAUCUAGAAUUCUCUUUAUUUUUCUGCAUUCUCAUCAGCCAAAAAACGUCCUAAGGGUUUCUUUAAGCUAUUUUUUCAUAAUUUUUGCACCAAGUGAGUUAAUCAUUGCCUUUUUCUUGUAAUUUUUGUGUUUCUAAGACUUUUACAACUAGGUCCUAUUACUAAAUUUAUUAGUUUUUGAUUUUAUGAAUGAAUUUGAAAGUUGCUAUGAAUAUGUGCUGGAAUUUCAUGAUGAAAUAGGAUGAAAUUGAAGCUUUAAUUUGUUUAUAAGAUGAUUUUAUUAGGUAAUUUCAAUAGAAAUUGAUUUGUAGGACUUAAUUGUAAAAAAGUUUCGAAUUAAAGUCUAGUGCUAAAAUUCUGAUUUCCAAAGGUUAUAAAGUAGUUUAAAGUGAUAGAAUAAAGUGUUGGUUGAGAAAAAUCAGCUCAAUUGAGAGGUUAAUUGAGCAGGGAUGGAAUUAUCAUUUAUUGAAAGCUUAGGGAAAGAAUGGUAAUUAACAUUAUGCACUAAAACAGUUUUGGACAGCAGCAGUAGUCUAACUUUAAAAAAUCACCAAAAAUUGUAUAGAUCGAAUUAAAGGAUGAAUAAAAUAUGAAAGUAAAUCUUAUUUAGUCUAGUUUCUUAUAAAAGAAACGGUGUAAGCAAUGGAAUUGUAAAUCAUGAGAUAUAAUAGAUUUUGUGAGACAAGGUCAGAAUGAAUUCGGGUUCCCCUGUUCUGACUUUGGAAAAUCAUUAAAAAUUGUAAAAAAAAUGAUUAUGAGUUAUAAUUUAUAUGGUUAUAAUCCUUAAUGAGUAUAUUUUUAGAAGAAACAAAUGGAAACAUCAUCCGAAUUCUGUACAAUGAGAUAAUUAAUUUUUAGUGAAGAGAGGUCGAAACUGUUGAACAGUGAAACAGGAGAAAUUUUAAAGAAUAAAAUGUACUUAUUGGCUAAACCAAAAAUUCUGAAAAUUUUAUGGUAAGAAUAUUUGUGAGUCUAGUUUCGGGAAAAAUUAUCGGAUCUUAAUUUGGAGUUCUGUAGCUCAAGAUAUAAAUAAUUUAGUGACUGUGACUCAGUGAGACAGCUUUGAAUGCACUAUAAAUAAUAAUGGAAUUAUAGAGAAUGUUACAUAUGAACAUGAAAAGUAUUAGAUUAAUGAUUAAAUUUAUUUAUUUAGAUCCGAAAAAUUCAAAUAGGAAGCAAGAUCGAGGAAAAGAAAAAGUUUGGGAUUAGUAGAUUUUUGGUUACGAACAAGUGACGAGGUAAGUUCGUGUAACUUGAAUUAUAUUCUUAAAUGCUUGAAAUAUAUUUUUCUUGAUGUGAAUAUGAUUUAGAUGUUUAUUGUAUGAUAAUUGAUGAAGUAUUGAUAUUCUUGAUGAAAAGGGAAAAUAAAUCUCAGUUGAAUGAAAGGAAAAUUCGAUGGAUCUCUGAAAAGGAAUUGAUGGUAAAAAGGAUCUAGCCCGGACGGGUGAUCCUAUCCUGAUAUAGCCCUCCCGAAGAAUAUGUGGAAAAUGGAUUUAGCCCGGACGGGUAAUCCGAAUUAGGGUCUGAAUUUAGCCUGGACUGGUAAUUCAGAUCCAAACUCAUUAGAGUAAUUGUCGCUGCAGGGGAUUUAGCCUGGACUGGUAAUCCCGACAAUACUCUAUGAGUUUAUAUUACAGGGGAUUUAGCCUGGACUGGUAAUCCCGCUGUAAGGAUGAGGUUCGCGGGAGUGUGCUAUCUGAAAUAGAAAUGUGAGUACAUGAAUAUGAAUUAACGGACCCGGAUUUGUACACUAAAGUGUACCUCUGAAAAUCCAUCGAAAUUUCGAGAAAUUCAACGGGAUAAAUAUGGAAAAUAAAAAGGGAAUGGAAAAUAUGGGAAUUGAUAAGCUCAUCAAUCAUUUGUCUUUGUAAUGAAUUUAUAUGAUGUUUACUUAACUAAUGCAAAAGUUGAGUUUGUAUGUGAUAGGUAUAUGUUUAUGUGAAUUGGAUGUGUGCUUGUGCUAUUAAAUGAUAGGUGUAUAAUAUGGUAAGUAUAAUUCUUGUUGCAUGAACUUACUAAGCACAAUGUGCUUACCCCGUUCUCUUUUUUCCCUAUUUUGUAGUGCCCGGGAGCUCGAAGGUUGGAGAUUAGUCGGAGCUUUAUCACACUAUCAACCCAUAUCUUUUGGUAUUUGAAAAUGACUUAUUUUGAAAGAAUGGCAUGUAUAGACUAAAUACCAAUAUUACAUAGAAAUGAAUGUUUGUAACUUAGCUGUUGGUAUGGCUAGAGUAAGUAUAACUUUGAAAUUUUGCGAAAAAUUUCUUAUGGCUUCGAUUUAAUAUCAGUUUAGUCCCGAUGUAUGUUUUGGGCUUCGGAGGCCCAUCCAAGGGACGUCAUGACAUGAUUCGAUAAAUGAAUAGUAAUUAAACUCGUAAUAACAGAAAAAUUAAUUCAGUAAAAUCUGGUAAUGCCUCGUAUCCUAUUCCGGCGACGGAAACGGGUAGGGGGUAUUACAAUGUAUGCCUAACUUUUGGUUAUAUCAUGCUCACCUAUGAGCAAGGUAAGUGUUUUAAUUCCAUUUGAACUUAUUAAGCAUUUAAAUGCUCACUCUAGUUGUUUCUCCUACUUGUAGAUCAUCACAACUUGCAAAACUCUCAAAGCCGAAUCUUUACGAAUGUCACACUAUCAUUGAAAUGAUAGAAAUAUGUUUAUUUUGGUUCCUAAAGUUGAGUUAUGUAUAUAGGAUCAUUGUGUUUUGUAAUGGUCAUCCUUAAUUAUGAUUGCUUAUGUUAUGUUAUGUUAAUGGCCAAGACUAUGUUGUUUGCUAAGUUUAUAUAUGGUCUAAUAUAAGUCUAAUGUGAUCAUAUCAAUGCCUUUUGAAUCCUCAAUUUUUAAAGCUUACAUGGACCUUAUAUGUUUGAACUUCGAAAUAUGGCAAUUUGAUAGAUUAAGAUUGGUGAAUGGCUUGAAUGAGUUAGGUUUUGAUCAUGUGUUUGGUGCCAAUUGAUAGGGAUUCUAAAUGUGUUAUAAACUCAGCUUGGUAUGGUUUGGGAUAAUUUGAUGCAUAGAUGAAAUUGGUAUAGGCAUGUGUUUGUAAGAAAAAAAAAUGUGUUUGAUUGAAAGUAUUAAAUGUGUGCCAAAGUGAUUCUUGCCAAAACAGUGGUGACGUUGCGACUACAAGUCCCCAACGUCGUGACAUGGAUCGACAGCGAGUGACGUUGCAACGUUGAGAUGUUUGAAGUCAUAACAUAACUCAUUGAUUAAUGAUGUCGCAAUGUCAACUUGCAAAUUUUGAAAACUUUACAAUUUAGUCAUUAAUCGACCUUGAAUUAGUGAAAGGUCACAAUGUCAACUUGCAAAUUUUGAAAACUUUACAAUUUAGUCAUUAAUCGACCUUGAAUUAUUAAAAGACCUUUCAUAAGCUCGUAUAAGAACAUAAAAUGUUUUUGUAUCAUAUUGAAAAUGUGUUUUAUACUAAUGAGCAUGCUAAAAUGAUUGAAUUGUAUUGAAGCUUGUUGUAGUUGCUUUGGUUACAAAUGUAGCAUCCCGUAACUCGGACUCGACGAUAGGGUCAGGAAAGGGGUGUUACAAGGAGUCUACUGAUGGAGGAAAAACUUCUACUUUUUACCAACCUCCUCAUAGCACCGUUCACCUGCUGAAGGCGAAUAUGAAAAGGGUUGAUUUUCUGAGCACUAUUACUUUAGUUUGAUCAAGACUUUAGCCCUCUUUUGUAACCAAAAAAAAUGAAAAAGAAAAAAAAUCAUUGGAGAUGGUUGGUUUUAAGACCCUUAAUAAGGCAAUUAAAUAAUUAGGUUUGUUUGGAUAAUUAAAUGAAAAGAAAAAUAAAUGUGAAAUUAAAAAAAGAUAUCAAGAGGAAAUGUCUUCUUUAUCGUCAUGAAAAAAAAAACAAAGAAAUAUCAAGAGGAGACAUGGGUUUGAAUCUUGGAAAUGAUAUUGUUGAGAGGGAUAAUCAUGAACUUGGAUCAUAAAACAAAUAUGAACAUACUUAAAAAAAAAUCCAUUUUUUUAGAACUAUUUUAAUUUGAAAAGGGUAUUUUUUUUAAAAAAAUAAUUUUUCAAUAAUAAUUUUUUUGUAACUUUGAACAACUUUUGCAACAUUUUACAUUUUUAUAUUAUUAUCAAUCGUAUUUAAAAUGAAAUUGGACAAAUGAUUGUCCUCAAAUUAAUGAACCACCACUUGUGUAAGUUCAUUCUUUAUUUUAUUAAUUUUUGAAGAUUUCUUUAAAAAAUUAAAUUUUAUAAUUUUUUUUGUUUGGUCAACAACCACAUUAUCAAUCAAUGCUUAACACAUGGCAUGUUCUCAUUAGCUGAGUGGACCACCUUUCACACCAUUAACUUUUGGGGCCAAAUACUAUAAUAAAGCAAUAGUUUAAGUAAUGAGAUAGAAUAAAAGUUCAAAUACUUAAGUGAGAAAAAGUGUAUAGUAAACUUGAAUAAAGCAUAAAUAUUAUGAAAUUUAAAAUUGAUUCGUCUAAAUGAAUAGGACUUUUUUUUUUUAAGUUAGGAUUAAUCUUACGUGUAAAUUUAGAUUAAGUUAAAAUAUGUUAUAGGUUCUUGUACUCUUUACAAAUUUGGAAGAAAUUUAGGUUUUUUAAAUUUUAAAUUUCAAAAUCCAAAUUCAAUUUGUUAAAUUUAUCAAUGCGACAUUUUGAAAUAAUAAUAAAAACUCACUUAAUAGUAAUAUAAUUAAUAUUUAAUAUUUAAUAUUUAAUAUUUAAUAAACUUGAAUUUAAUAAAAUAAUUUUAAUAGUAUUAAUAGGUAGAUCUAAAUUUUGAAAAUAAAUAAAUAAAUAAAAUUUUAAAAAUAAAAAUAAAAAAAUUACAAAAAGAUACAGACCUUAGGUUGGUGUAACCCCAGGAACUGGUUUGGGAUGCAAGUAAGGUUGUCUCUAGAACUUCCCACAAAGAAACAGCUCGUUUCAAUGGGACAGCCACCGCCAGGAACCUGCAUUUAUUAAACCCCAUUAUUAUGGGAAACGAGACACUAAUUUCUUUAUGGACCAAUGAAUGCAGUUGUUGUUUUCAGAAUUUAUUAAGCAAGUCCCUCCACACACACACACACACAAAAAUCUCCAUUUUCCUUUUCAAAGAGGAAAAAGUAGAGAUAUAGCAGUGGUGCGUGUCACAAAUGACUCGUGAUUCUCAAUCCAAUAGCGAAAUGGUCUUCAAUGCUGUGUUGUUUAUAUUAGAGAAAGACUACAAGCAACUUAAUUAGUCUCAAACUCCAACCUAACUAACUAAAUUUCUAUUUGUUUAUACCAAAGGUGUUAGCAAUCAUGCAUUUGGCUCCUAGUUUCUCAUUACAUUUAAUUCACACCCGACAAAAAAUUCUUAAUUUCAAUCUCCACAAAACAAAAGAGAUAAAUUCCCAAGAACGUGUAUGCAUGGAGUUUUGUGUGUUUUAUGCUGUGAAAAAUAAAUGCUGUCACCUAACUGAAACCCACCAAAUUUAAAGAGCAAAGGGAGUCCCAAGUCGAAAAUCGAAUAUUUUAAUGCAUGCCCAUUAAAGCUCCAAACAAUCACCUUUUAGUUCCACAACACGUAACCAAAAGUAUCUAUACUUAUUCGGGUUUUAUUUAUUUACUUUAAAAAGAAAAACAUUAAACUUCAUUAGCAAUUCCUAAACUGAGGGUAAGCUCUUAAAAUAUCUUAUAGUUUAAGCUCACUUUAAUUUCCAUCUCCUAAUAAGUACAUUAUCAAUCUACCAACUCCAAAUUAAAACCAUUUAUCUACACUUUAAGAAAUAUUGCUUCUCUCCCAUCAUUAUCAUUGAUAUACUAAAUAUAUCAAGGAAUAUGCCAAGUCUCGUUGAUCCAAGCCAAUCACGCACCAUACCCAAAACUUUGUUUUCAUGUCCAAUGGCUUCAAGACAAAUGCCCUCUCACCAACUCUCAGCAAUUAAAACUCUCAACAAACUUCAUCUGCCUCAGCCUAUUAAAGGGUUGUAAAUGUUAGUAUUCAAACUACUGGAUACCACAUUGUAGGAGUGGUCUUCCCAUCAUUAAAAUCAUUCACACCAGCUUUACCAAUCACCUAUUUGCUAUUUAUGAUACAAACCAGGAAAGUUGGAAUGAAACUGAAAUAUGGCAUGUAAGCUUGUUAUACUGUUCUUCUUUGUUAAUCUCCUAAUGCAAAUACCAAAAGUAAGGGCAACAGUUCCUGCAAUUAUCGUUUUCGGAGAUUCUACGGUGGAUCCAGGGAACAACAACCAAGUAUCUACAGUUCUAAAGAGCAACUUCGAGCCAUAUGGCAGGGAUUACUAUGGUGGUCAGCCAACAGGACGUUUUUCUAAUGGAAGGAUUGCAACAGACUUCAUUUCUGAAGCCCUCAGGAUCAAGCCAGCCAUACCUGCAUAUCUGGACCCGAAGUAUGACAUAGAAGAUUUCGCUACCGGAGUUUCCUUUGCUUCAGCCGGGACUGGUUAUGACAAUGCUACUUCUGAUGUGCUAGUAAGUCGAGCUACAGAUUGGUGAUAAGUUAACCGUCUUACCAUGUGAAACAGAAGUCAUGCAGUGAGUUGUAAAUUUUUGUUUGCAUCAGGUUUUCCAUGAAUGUUGUUAAAUUCCAUUUUGAUUCUUGCCUGCAACAAAUGACAAAAGAUUUCAGUUUCAACAUGUUCUUUUAAUCUAGUUCAGUACAUUUAAUCAACUAUAGACAACAGGUCAUCAAUUACAACUUACAAAAGCCAUUUUCUUGAAUUUGCAGUCUGUCAUACCAUUUUGGAAGGAACUGGAGUACUACAAAGAAUAUCAGAACAAGCUAAGAAAACAUCUAGGCAAAGAUGAAGCUAAUCAACGUUUUUCUGAAUCAUUGCACCUAAUAAGCAUAGGAACCAAUGACUUUUUAGAGAACUACUACAUUUUUCCUACCAGAUCUUCGGAGUAUUCAGUUGACGAGUAUCAGAGCUUUCUGAUAGGAAUUGCCAGCAAUUUCAUCAGAGAGCUUUACAAGCUCGGAGCUCGGAAGGUAGUCAUUGGCGGCCUUCCUCCAAUGGGAUGCUUACCAUUGGAAAGAACAACAAAUAUGUUCUUUGGAAGUGACUGUAUCGAUGAGUAUAAUGAUGUGGCUAAAGAUUUCAACAAGAAGUUACGGGGUGCAGUCACAGAGUUGAAACAGGAGCUUGGUGGAAUCCAUCUGGUUAUGUCAAGCCCCUACGAUAAGCUCAUGGAAAUGAUUCGGAAUCCAAGUCACUUUGGUAAGUCAUUAUCGAUAGUUUACAAAAGUUAAACUACUGUUACUAAGGUCAUAUAUAAAGAAAAAGAAUACCUAGAAUAAGAGCACAUCCACUACUUGAAUCCAAUCACCUAACUUGUCCAAACGGUUAACUACUGUUUUAUGCCAUCCACAUGGGUCAGAUAUUAUGUACAAAACUAGUCUAGUAAAAUUAACCAUGUUGAACCCCGUAAAUAGCGCAGUUACUUCAUUCAGCUUCCCUUAAACGGUAGCAUAUAUCAAAUCUUGUUUGGAAUCCUAGCAUCUACAAGCCUUUCCUUAUCCCUGAUUAUGGCUUCCUUCGUACCCAAGAUAUUCAGUAAUAUAAAUGAUUUUGCAUGCGUUUUAUUAGAGACAUUGCUUACCUCUACGGCCAUGAGAUGAUCCUUUGACUUCAAGCAUGAAUGGACUAAGACAUAGAAGGCCGAUAUACAAAAACACAAUCAUGGAUACAAGUAUAUGAAACCAGACAGAAACUAGGUACUUUCAUGCCCCCCAUGUUGUCACUUGCCUUGAGCAAGCCUCAAGAACUCAUUCACUAGUUUCAUCCAAUGAACUUUUUUGUUUAAAACAUGCAUAAAACCAUGCAAUAUCAUACCACCUAAUAAUGAAGAGCCAUAACACCAUAAAAACAAACCUUUUCAGGCAAAGCAAAGCAAUCUCUGUGUGUGUGUGUGUGUGUGUUUGGAUGUGUUCUUGAACCUAUGUGCGCACAGUAUGAAUGCAGAUGUAAUUAGGCAAGUGUUUUAACAUACUUCUCCUCUUAUGGUAAAUUUCUUAUAAAUUUUCUACAUUACAGGAUUUGAAGAUGCAGAAACAGCAUGCUGUGGGACUGGAUUCUUCGAGAUGAGUUACCUGUGUGAUAACAUGAACCCAUUUACAUGUUCAGAUGCCAAUAAGUAUGUAUUCUGGGACGCCUUCCACCCGACAGAGAAAACAAAUGCCAUUUUGGCUGAUUAUGUGGUCAAAACUACCCUAGCCGAGUUCCAAUAAUUACUAAAAGUAAAAGAAAGCAGCACUGCUUCAUUGUUGUAGAUGCCAAUAAGUAUGUAUUCUGGGAUGCCUUCCACCCGACAGAGAAAACAAAUGCCAUUUUGGCUGAUUAUGUGGUCAAAACUACCCUAGCCGAGUUCCAAUAAUUACUAAAAGUAAAAGAAAGCAGCACUGCUUCAUUGUUGUAGAACUAGUAUUAGUAGGCAUUAUAUUUACUAUUGCCUUUUCAACUACAUCCAAUGAAGGAAAAUAUAGAAAACAAUAAGUCAACUGGAUGAAUGCAUGUUAGAUGAGAAAACAUAAGAACAAGUUCAAACUUCAAAUCAAGCAAGUUAUCCCCCCCCCCAAGAGAAAACAGCUAUUUCUGUUGUGAUCUAAGAGGUUCUGCAAUUUUUUUUAUUUUGGAAGAGUGGUUUUGCAAAAUAAUUGCAAGAAAGAACCAUUCAAUAUUUCAAAAUCUAAUAGACGAUAUUGCUGUAAGAAGAGAAAACAGUUAGAUUCAGAAAAGCUUCCUAAGAGAUCCCACCAUAGAAAUGGACAUUGUCUACUCGAAUAAGAUUAACAAAUAAAAUUGUUCUUCAUUAUAAACUAAGAUCCUUCAAAGAAAAGGUUUCGUUGAGAGGGAAAGCCUAAAUUUUAAUAAGAAAUUUGCUCCAAACUAUCAAAUAUCAGCAUAUACAAAUAAUAAUAAUAAUAAUAAUAAACUGAUUUAAAAGAACAUGAAGCAGCUAGAGAUCUUCAAUGACAAGAUAUGGGAGACACUCGGUGCAGCACAACUUGAAUCCUUCGGCUUAUUUUGGCACUUUAGGAAAAUGCAGUUUGAUAAGUGCAGGAAGUUCAGCCAGCUCAACUUGAGGCUUGCCCAAUAAAAUACUCCUCAAUUUCUCAUCACAAUUGACAAGAUUCUUGUUGUUUGGAUCCUAAUCAAGAAAAAGUGACAUGCUGAGAGAUCUUUGGGUAAAUUUGUGUAUAUACCAGGGCAUCAAGACUAAAAGUUCAAAAUCAAUCUAUGAGUAUAAGGUUCAAAGAGUAGAGAAUGAUUCCAAAAAAUGAGAAUUACAAACUUUAUGAGCCCAGUGCUGAAUUGCCAGCCAUGAUAAACAAUUAAACAUACAUAAGAAAGCCUUCAUAACAAAUAAAAUCAUUUAAGAACCACUAGACUCUAGAGCAAGUGGUGGUGACAACAGCGGUGCCCAUGAAUUCCAUCUUAUAGCAUCAAACUGUCUAUGAUAAAAUGAAUGAUCCAAAACAUGAUUAACAUUUCCUGGGACAUACAAUGCAAACCUGUAGAGAGAUGAUAUCAUUAUCAUCAUGAACACACAUCUUCACAAAUUGUAGUAAAACAUUAUCAUUCAUGGAAACAAUGAUAUAAAGAUGCCAAAUGUUUGAUAAUAAACACCUGAUACAGAUAAAAUACUCAUUUGAAAACUCAUAUUAACCCCCGGGGGGGGAGGCUAUUUGUCCCUACUUAAACAUCACAACAACUUACCAAUCCAACUCUGACAUGCUAAUAACGAAUUGGAAGACCCAACUAUCAAUGAACCAUGAGAUUUAUUCAAUAAUCUACAGGCAACGCCAGGGAGUGCAAAACAAUAGGAAAAAGAUAUGGGUGAAUAAAGCCUCUCCAAGAUUCGUUUACAAACAUUUGAUUGAACAGAGGAUAGACCUAAGAGUACCUGAAGAUUGUUCUCUUUGAUAUAAGACCAAACACGAAAGAAGCAACCCAAACGUGAAAUCUGAGACUGACCCACAAAUUCUCUAACUGGGGAAGGAAGAUUUGCAAGGUCAAUCAAGUUAGCAAGCUUCUUGGGGUUAUCAGUGAUUGUCUUCUUCAGUCUCUGUGGCAGCAUUUUUUCUACCUCCUUCUCUUCUUCCUCGCUAUAUAUCCAAAAAACCAUACAUCAAACACUUAACAAAAUAAUAAUAAUAAUAAUAAUAAUAACAAAUUUUCAACACCCAAUGAAUUUUAAGAAAAAAAUUUAUGUUCUUUGCUGCUAAAAAAAGCAGUACAAGCUUAAGCUUCUGGGGAAUUUUAUCAAACAGUUGGCGCCAUUUGGUUAUCGAAUUCGUAACCUUCUACAUUCGUUGUCAAUUGCUAAAAUUAAUAGUUUUGUUAGAAGAUAGUUCAGCUGGUUUACCUGAAGAGGAACGGGAUGGCGGCAAAGUUCAGGGGUUAAAAUGGUAAAGAGAAGCAGUUCUGAAUACCAAACUUCAAGGUUUUGCAGGCGAGAGAGAGAGAGGGAAACGAAAGCGUGAGUAAAGGGCACUUAGUAAGAACUGAUGGUUGCUUUGCUUGAGUUCUUCAAAACGGCAAGGGUAGUAAUAAUGAAACCACAAAUUUUAUAUGUGUUUUAUUUUUUAUUUUUGGUAAUUUUUAUUAUUUUUAAUAGUUUUUGGUAAUUUUCUACAAAUUUAUAUAUUCCUUUUAUAUUUUUGCAAUUUUUUCAUAAAUUUCUUAUCUUUUAUAUUUUUUUAAUUUCAAGGCUAAUAUAAUAAAACAGCUAGUUUUGUAAUUAAAUAAGUCACUAACUUGAUUUUAAUUUAUAACUAAAAAUAUUUAAAACUUUUUAACUAAUUUGUCUUUUAUGUUGUGAAUUUGAUAAGAAUACAUAACACCAUCACUCUUUUUAAAAUUGUAUGUUGACGUUAAAGUAUAAAAUUUCUACUGCCUCGUUAAGAAAUUAAAAGACUGAAAUUUCAAAAAAAAAAAACUUUAAUAUUAAAAUCAAUGAUUUUUAUAGACAGAAACCAUAACCACAAAAGGGUGAAUUGUCAGAAAAUUUCACUUUUUCUUUAAUAUUUAUCAUAUUAGACCUUUUUUAAUAUUCGUGGAAUUAGGCCGAUUUUUUAAAACACGCUAAGUUAGACGAGUUUUGAUCAUACUUUGCAAGAAAACACGUUGAGUUGGACAUAUUUUCAGUGAAUGUUGCAGGAAAACGCUACCAGUUAGACGCGCUUUCUUGCUUUGUCAGUAAAACACUUCUAACUGGAUGCAUUUUUCCCAAUGGCUAUCCCGAGUGAAUUCCAACAACUACUUUCCACCCCCAACAGUAAAAAAAAAAAAACCUAUUUAAAACCCCUCAAUUCCAUUUUUUUUCAAUUCACUCUCAAUUUCUUUCAAUUCUCUCAAAUUUUAUAAAAAUUGUCUUAAGAAUUUUUUAUUUAAUUUUGUAUUAUGAAAUUUAAUCGUUUUUUUUAAUUCUUAAUGGUCAAUUUUCUUAUUCGUUUGGAUGACAAACACAUUUCAGUCUUCUAAUUGCAAAUGGUAAAAAUAAUAUUUAUAUUAUUUUUAAUCUAAUUUAAUUUCAUUAUUAAAUUGUUAUAUUGAAAUUUAAAAUUUUGUAUGUUUUCUUUUAUAAGUAGGUGGAAGAUUGAAUUUUGGAGACAUAUAUUAAACAGUCUUGACGCAAUACCCGUGACAACACACGUAUGCGAAGCGGUAUAUUUCUUGAUAGUCCAUAACCCCGUCUUUUUCUUCAUAGAAGUCAUGAUUUUCCAUGGACAUCUACUAUCUUGCAUUGCACAUUUCGCCUCGAAUUUCUCUGAUCGAGAUUUAACAAUGUAGAAGUUUACUCUAUUCUUUAUGUUGUAUCACUUCAUUGCUACGACAAAAGCAUCUUUAGAGGAGAACUCAUUCUCCACUUCUAAAUCAUCAGCAUCCAACAAAGAACUCGCAUGGUCCGAUUCUGUGUGGGAGUUCUGAAAACACCAACCCACCUUCUGCUGAGAGAUCUACAUUAUGCAUAUGGGUCGGAGGUGAGUAUGUCCUGAAUUGUAGAUCUUCUUCGACGGCUUCAUUCGUACCUUCAUCGUCUGAACCUCUAUCUUCUAGUUCAGUUGGAACCGGUUCUGGUUUAGAAAAUAAUGUAAUUUCUAAAUCAUCCAGCCCAGACUCCUACAUUGGAUUGUCAUUGGUUUUAGUGUCCUCUUCAAUCUCAACCCCUCUAGCAUGUCCAAGGUUGGAUGUCCCUUCACCGGUAGAGGUUGUAGGGAGUACAUCAUCCAUUCUUGUAUAGUUGUCGGUACAACCAAAACCACCUGCAGAUUGUCCACCGGUGGAACUUAAUGUCAUACCCCUGUAAGUGUUCCCGACGUAUAACAUCAGACUCUCAAAGUUGAAAUCAAAACUACUAACAGAGUGUCAUGUCAGGGUGUUGACUGCCUAUAAAUGAGUUACCGUUUACAGAAUAAAUAUAACACCAAAAAUACAAGAGUUAAGAAUGAUGGUGUCCGGAAGUGCACAGGUCAAAUUGUAAUAUAAUUUUACAACGAAAUACCAGAAGUAUUCUGAGAAUCAUACCCAAAGGAGGAUGAAAUAAAUAAUGAAAAAUAUUUUUUACAAUAAUAAGUCUAAAUAGUAGUAAUUAUUUCCUAUAUACUAUUAACCAUAAAAAUAGAUUAAGAACAAUAAAAAUAAAUAAACAACAAAAAUAAAUAAAUAAAGAAAAAUAAACAAAUUAAUUAAAUUGAUAAACCAAUCAGGAAGAUUAACUCGUUUCAUGGUUUGUAACUAACUUCGGAUUAAGGUUUUGAGAUGGAUUAGUAAUCGAUUAACUAAUUAUUACCUCUCGGUCUCUAAUUAACUAAUUGAUUCAUUGAUAAUAUUCGCUUAUCUCCCGACCUCACUUUCUCAACCAAGAUAAUUACGAUUUACUCAAUUUGACUUAUCUUCCGACCUGUUCUAGCUUAUGAUAACUUAUUAGGGUUGUCAAGCCUAACAAUUUAAAAACACAUAAUUUAUACCAACUAAUCCUUCUUGAAAAACCCCAAAUUCUUUGUUAAUCACAUCCUCAUCCACUCAUUAAUCUCCCCUAAGAUAUUUAGUCACUCAUGCUUUUAAUAAUCCCAACUUCGAUUGAACAAACCAAGUGAAAAACAAAACCAACUUGGAGAAGAAAAGAGAUUUGAAUAAUUGUAGAUUGAAUAUAAAAUGAGGAACGAAAUAACAAAUCUCUCGAUUGAAAUAAAGAAAUAAAACAAAUGUAAAUAAAAUUAUAAUCGAAUACUUUUAAUUAAAUAAACACGUUAUUGAAUCAAAACUAAUUCAAGAAGAAAAACAAGAAAGUUAUGAAAAGUCGAAAAGAAAAUAAACUACAACUGCUUUUAAACUACGAGGGUUUUUUGAAGGCGUCUAGGAUGACUUGAUUAUAUUCAACCCUUAAUGUCUUAUUUAUAGAGGUGUCAACAAUUCAUAUUAGGUGUUUGGCACGUCCUAGGUCUUCAUAUAAGUUUGAUUGCGUAGACAAAAAUUACCCCAAAAUACAUAGGCAGCACGUCGGCUUUAUGUCGCACCACACACCUUGCAUGGUGUGACACGACACCCAAAUACUAUCUUGUCUCGUUCAUUUUGUGCUUUGAUGUUCAGGAAAGCUUGUACAUCAUUCGACCCUUACUUCCACGUCAAUUGGACCUUUAUAUAUCCAUCUUACACACUGAAUUAAACCAAUUAGCACAAUCUCAGGCCCGUGUCAGUCUAUUGGGUCACAACACCUACAAACUGUUUAAAAACACUUAUUUUUAUUAACUUUCAAUCCUAAGGUCUAAUUACUGAAAAAGUUGUCGAAACCAUUUUUUUAUUUGAAAAAUGGAAAUCGAUUUUGAAAAUGGAGUGGCCACCAAUCUUUUAUUGGGGUGUGAUCAGGUCACCUUAAAAAUGAUUUUAGGUCUACAAAUUUUGAGAAAACAAGUUCGGGAGUCGGUUACGCACAAGGAAGGGUUAACACCCUCGUAACGCCCAAAAUUGGUACCGAAUUAAUUGUUUAAUGUCUUAGUGUCGAAACUUGAAAAGAUUUUUAAAUACGAUCCCAUGAAAUGAAAGCUUAAAUAAUUGAAUUGGCUAAAUAGACGGACCUAUUUCAAAGAGAUAAAUCGCCACACUCAGUAAGUUAGAGUGCAGCAAUUCAAUCUUCGGAGCUAGAUUCGUCUUUCCUUUUUAAAAAUUUUUAAAAAAAUCAUAUGUUUUAAGAAGGAUAUUUGAUUAUUUAAGCCAAUCGAGAAAUCAGAAUCCAGUAAGUUAGGGUUCAAUUUCUCGAAAUUCUUAAACAUCAAAUAUUGCCUUUAUUUUAAAAUCGAGACAACAAAAUGUCAUAUCCAGUAAGUUAGGAUCCAACAUUUUGAAAUCUUAAGAACUUUAUUUUAACAAUUGUAUGGUUUUAAUAAAAUGAACACUUGAUUAUCUAAAUUCAUCGAGAAGAAUUGAAGCCCAGUAAGUUAGGGCACAAUUCUCUUGAGAACUUAUGAACACCAAGCUAUUUUAGGAAUUAUGAAAUAAAAUGAUUAUAGUGCUUUAAUAAAAUACAACUCUUACAAAUGAAACAUGAUUGAAUAACAAUACAUAAAAUGCAAAAAAAAAAAAAAUAGCAAUAUAAAUUUACACUAAGGAGCAAUCAAGCAUGUAAUACAUCAACAUUGAUAAUUAUGCAUAUAAUAAAUUAAUAAUCAGUUUUCUAAAGAUACUUUGAUUAGAAAUAAAAUAAAAUAAAAAUAUAGUUAAUAUGGAAAUUUAAAAACAAUUUGAUAAUAAAUAACCAAAAUAAAGUAAAGGAAAUAAAUAAUUUUUAAGAAAGAGAGUAUUUAUGCAUUGAAAAAAACUUUAUAAUUCGAAAUUAAUAAUAUAUUUUAUACACAUGUACACCAAAAAUAAUUCCAUAUAAAUAAUAUAUACAUAUAUAUAAAAGAACCAUGUAAUAUUAUUGUGAAAAUAAAAUUUGAGUUAUAUUAUGAAAUACAUUAUUUAAAAAUAAUAAGUAAUUUAUCAAAUUUUUAUAAAAAUAUAUCAAGAAUGAUGGAAACAAAUAAUAAUAUAUCAAGUUGGAAAAUAAAAGUGUACAAUAGAAAUUUUGAAAUAAUGUUUAAUAAAUUUAAAACAUAUUGAUAAUAAUAAUUUGAAAGAAUUGUGUAUUAUAUCUUAAAAUUAUAUUAAUAAUCAGUUUGAAAACAAUAUUAAGCCAAUAUUAAAAUAAUAUUAAAAAUAACGGAUUAAUAUGAGAAUUGAUUUAUUUUUAAAAAAUACUUUUGAAGGCAAAAUUAAAUAUGAAAAAAAACUUUUUUUUUAAAUUAACAACAAUAAUUAUAAUAAUAUCAACAAAUUUUAAAAUCGAAGCUUAAAUAAAAUUAGUAUAAAAAAGGAAAAGAAAAUUAAAUAAAUAUACAAUAGACUCAAAAUAUUGGUGUAUAAUGAAUUUAAAAAUAUUAAAAAAAGCUAAAAUAAUAAUUUAUUACAUUUUAAACUAUAAUAAUAGUAAAUUUAAACACUAUCAAAAUCAAAUAUUACAAAUAAUAUUAAAUUUUAUAAUAUAUGAAAGUAGGAUUAAUUACAUUUAAAAAUAUUAUUGAAUUAAAAAUGAAAACUAAAUUUGCAUUAAAUUGAAACAUAUUUCAACGUUGAAGGACUAAAUCAGCAAUUAAACGCUAAACCUGAAUAAUCAAAAUCAAUAGCAGAAAACGAUGCCGUUUAGGCUUGGAUCCAAAUGAAAACAGAAUUAAAUAUGCAGUACAAAUUAAAAAAACUGAAGAAAAUUAGAUUGAAACUACAUAAAACAUAGAGGGACUCAUUUCGCAAAUAAACCGACGAACGAAACGCGUGGCUCCUGCCCCGGGUCGGGUCACCGCGCGGAUACCUGCGUCAUACCACGUCGUUUUGAGACCACAAGGCCCGGCCUCAAACGACGCCGUUUCUAGCUAGACAUAAAAACUAAAGUAACCCUAAUUUAAACAGACUCUUCUUCCUAAAAAAAAGAAAAGCAGAGACUUAAAAUGAGCAGAUCCUCGGUGUCACAUUUUGGAACCUACUGCUCAUGGGACCUUCAACCCUCGCCCGGCUCCAAUUGUGACGGAGCGAACGACGGUCAGGUAAGUUCCUUGCUCUUUUUUCUUUUCUACUUCAAUAUUAAUCAAUGAACAAAGGAGCAGAAAAAAAAAACAAAGAAAAGAUUAACUAUCACCUUUCGAAUUUUUCUUUUCACUGAAAAUGAGUUUUUUUGUAUUCAAUUUCUCUGAAUGCGUAACUGUUUACAGUCUAUUCUUGGAUUUUUUAUAGCCUGAUUUUUUUACAAGAGAAAAAGAAAAUUAAAAUAAAUAAAAGGAAAAUUGCCCCGUCCUUGUUAUUCUGUUAUUUUCUUUUGCUCUCAUUUUCGUGUGUUUGCUUGCAGGUACUCGGCCAGCCUGGAGGUGCAUCUGUGUGGAGAUGACGCACGCGCCUAGUGGCGAUGCACGCGCAAGGUUUGUUGGAUUCAUCUAUGGCGCUGAAGCAGGGGUCUGUUGUGGCUUCACCAGAUUAGUCUAGAAACCACUAGGGUUUCUAAUUUUGGGUUGUUUGGGCUCGAUGUAUUCGGGUUUGGGCUUGGGUAAUGUAUUUUGGGUUUGGUUAUUUAAUUUCUGGUAUGUAAUUAGGUGGUGUAUUGGGAUGACUAGGUUGAGUAUUAGGAAAUUUGGGUUGGGCUAUUUUUGGCCUGCUGUUGUAAUGAAAAACUGGACAUUUUAUUAUUAUUUAUUUUAUAUAUUUUUCAUAUCUGGGUUUUAAUAGUUGGGCUCGGGCCGGAAAAAAUUUGGGUAUUACAAACGUAAAAUAAAAUCCUAAAUUGCCUAGAAAACAAGUUCAAAAAAUAGACAUUUUCUGUUAAUUCACACCUACAGAAAUAAUUUAAGUGUUUGUUUAAAUAAAGUUUAGAUAUUUUUACUAUAUUAGUACAUUUUUAAUAGAGACGGAUAGAAGGCAUGAGUUACUGGCAUGGUGAAACAGCGAAGCCCCCAAGACCAAGAGAGAUCUGUUUUAGUAGGCGUUCAUCUCAAACAAAACAAUAAAGUAAAGAAUAAAACCUGAACAAGUGAGCUGGGACUAGGAGAAUCCAAUAAUUGCCUAAAACCCCAACCCCUUCAGAAUCAUAACAUAAACAAAACCCACCACGGUAGAAAAGACAAAUAGGGUUUUUGAAACAAAUUCAGAUUGGGCUUUAUAACUUAAAAUGAAGAAAAAAGUACAGAAAGUCCAGGCUAAGCUAAAUGCAAGUUCUGGCCCAUAAACAAAUCAGAACUGUGGACCAAAUCCUAAAGGAAAAUAGAAAAAAAACAGUCUUUAAGCAACUUAAAAUCAAAAUCUUCUAAAACCUAAUAAAUGCUAUCAUAUCUUGCCCAAUCAGAAAAAAUCCAUUUCUGUCUUUUCAAAAUCAUCUAUUCAUUUCUUCAAAGAGACGUUUCCAGAUUUUAAUGAAGCCUUGUCUGCCACUCCUUUGAAUUAUCACUAUACAGCUUCUUUAACCGUUCACUUCUUCUCAACACAUGUCCUCUGCCUUUCUUUCGAUUUCUUCCAGAUUAGCAGCAUACUCCGGGACUCUUCCAAUCAGGUAAAGUUCUUCUUUUUCCUUUAAUGUCACCGUCGCUAGUUUGUGUGCCAGGUUGUUCGCUUCUCUGGGAAUAUACUCAAGAUAGUAUUUUCCAAAAUUUUUUAACAGCUGAUGUAUAUCUUGGAUAUAUGCUCCGAUUCUGGAUUUAUCAUGGCUUUUCAGUUUGCACUUCUUUAUAAUAGAUAACGCAUCCCCUUCGAUAAUAAUGUUUGACCAUUGCAUGUCCCUACUUAUUUGAGUUGCUGUACGACACGCUAUUGCUUCUGCGGCAAAGGCUGAUGCCACAUGAUGAUGAAUCUCUGUGCAUGAUAAAAGUGUGUUUCCAUCACUAUCCCUGGCCACGAUUCUCGCUGCUGAUUGCCGUGAGUUCCCAUCAAAUGCUGCAUCGAAGUUAACCUUCACAAACUGGACCGGUGGGUACUUCUAUUCCCUGCCUGUUUUUGCUCCAAUCUCAUUCAGUUCACUAAUAUAUCUCUUUCCCAGAUCUAUUAGUCUUUUCAUGCACUCUCCUAUUCCUUUCUCCCCAUAUUGCCCAAAGAGCACAACAAAAGAUCCGUCACCGAUUGGUGGAAUUCUGUUCAAAAACCCAGGUAAGCCAUUGUACAAAAUCCACAUGAGGAACUUGUAAUAACUCUGGGAAUAAUAGCUCUUCCCAUACUGUUCUUGCCACAAGACAUUCACGGAAUAUAUGAUUUGUAGAUUCUACUGCACUGCCACACCCGAUGCAUGUCACAUUGUUUAACAGCCUUCUGUAGUUCAAGUUGACUCGAGUCGGGAUAUAAUUCCAUGAUAUUUUCCAGAUUGAAAUUUUUACCUUAAGAGGUAGAUUAAGGAGCCAUAGGUUUCUGUAGAAAUUUCUAGAAUCAUUUUGUAAAGCAUAAGCACAAGGGUCAUUUUCGAAGCCAGACCAGGAAGUCAUCGUGAGGUUCUUUUGCAAGUGGGAUACAGAAGAUUUUCUCAGAUAUCUCCGCAGGAAAGGUAGCUUCGAUUAGUUCUUUUUUCCAUUCUUUGUUUCUGUCUUCAAUUAGAUCUGCAACUUUAUAUUCCUGCAAAUGCGAUAACCUGGGAUAAUUGGUAAAAUAAAAUGAUAAUUUUGGAUAAUCCGGUAACCAACUAUCAUUAAUGACCGAGAUUACAGUACCCCUCUCUACUUUCCAACAGCUUCCAUCGAAUAGAACACCUCUCGUUGCCCAUAUGCUUUUCCACGCAAAGGAACUAUUAUUCCCAAGAUACGAAUUAAGGAAAUCCGUUUCUGGAAAGUAUUUAGCCUUUAACACCCUUGCAACUAACGAGUUUGGAUUAUUUAGGAUUCGCCAGCCUUGUUUAGCUAAUAAGGAGAUAUUAAAAUUAGCCAUACUCUUGAAACCUAUACCUCCUUGUUCUUUUGCUCGGCACAUAUUUUGCCAUUUACACCAGUGAAUUCCUCUUUUUCCUUGCUUCUUUUGCCACCAAAAGGUGGCGAAUAAUUUUUCCAAUUCGUCACAUAGGGAAUUAGGGAGAAGAAAGCAUGACAUAGCAUAAGUCGGAAGUGCCUGAAGUAUGGAUUUAAUGAAAACUUCCUUGCCUCAUUGUGAUAAUAGUCUGGUGCUCCACCCUUUAAUUAUGGAGUUAACUUUAUCUUUUAGAUAUUGAAAAGCCUCCUUUUUCCGUCUUCCAACUACAUUAGGAAGGCCCAAAUACUUCUCCAUAUUUGUUGACCCUCUUAUACCUAAGCUCACUGAAACUUCCUCUCUAUCUCUGGUUGAUGUAUUCGAGCUAAAGUAAAUUGUAGAUUUUUCAAAAUUAACACAUUGGCCCGAACAUACUUCAUAUUCCUUAAGGAUUUCUUUUAGCACCCUUACAUCCUUGUUAGUUGCUUCUCCGAACAGAAUGCAAUCAUCGGCAAAAAGUAGAUGUGAAAUCGCUGGUCCUUUCCUGCUUGCCUUGACUCCUCUUAUUCGUCCUUCUUUCAAUGCUAAUCUCAUUAGUGCCGAAAGACCCUCGCUGCAUAGUAGAAAAAGGAAAGGACUAAGUGGGUCACCUUGUCGUAGUCCUCUAGAAGAUUGAAAGAUUCUUCCCCCUUUUCCAUUAAUAUUGACUGCAUAAAAAGCUGUAGUAAUGCAUUUCAUAAUUAAACCGACCCAUUCUUUUGCAAAACCCAUUCUCAACAUGACUUCCUUAAGAAAACUCCACUCAACCCUAUCAAAGGCUUUGCUCAUAUCAAGUUUAACUGCCAUAAAGCCUUUCUUACCUGUUCGUUUUCGUCUAAGAGUGUGUAGGAUCUCAUAGGCUAGCAAUAUGUUAUCAGAAAUUAACCUUCCUGGGAUGAAAGCACUCUACGACAGAUCAAUACACUGCCCAAUAACCCCUUGAAGUCUGUUGGCUAUUACUUUCGCCACAAUUUUGUAGAUAACAGUACAUAGACUGAUAGGUCUGAAACUUGUUAUGUUUUUGGGAUUCUGUGCUUUUGGGAUCAAAACAAUACCAGUAAAAUUUGAAUGGCCUAAAUUUUUGUCACUGUUUAAAAUUUCCAAACAAAAAGUGGUGACUUCUUUACCUACAAUAUGCCAAUAUUGUUGAAAGAAAAGUGCUGGGAAUCCAUCAGGUCCUGGUGCUUUAGUUGGCCCCAUUCCUUUCAAGGCAAGAUGCACUUCUUCUUCCGUAAAUUUUCCCAUUAAGUCUUCAUUUAUUUCUGGUGUGAUUUUCUCUUCAAUGCCUGUUAGGAGGUAGGAUAGCUCACCUACUCCUUUUGAUAUAAAUAACUUCUGAAAGAAAAGAGUAGCUUCUUCACUGAUCAUGCAUUCUUCCGUCACUUCUCCUCCUUCGAUAAGUUCCAGCCUUGAUAUCGUGUUUUUCUUUCGUCGAGAUGUGGCGUGCCUGUGAAAAAAAGCUGUAUUUUUGUCCCCUGCUUUUAUCCAAUUUACCCUUACCCUUUGUUCCCAAUAUCUUUCAUCUUUAUCAAUUUCUAAGUUUAGGUGCACCUUAGUAUCAAUGAUUUCUGCCAUUAUGUCAUCGGUAUUUAUCCUUCUCCAUCAGCAUCUCCAGUUUCUUUGUAAGCCUUUUCUUCAGCCCUUCUUGUCCUUUUUUAAUUUCCCCUGCCCAUUUUUUUAAGUCUGAUUGUAAUUUUUCCAGUUUCUCCAGUACGUUAUUUGUAGAUGAUUCCCAAGAUGCUUUAAUUUCUCCUUCAAGAGACUCUUCCAUAGUCCACCAUGCCUCAAAAUUAAAAAUUGGCUUUCCAAAAUUAUCAUUUUCUGUUUUUGUAGUAAGCAGCAGAGGAUAAUGAUCAGAUAAUGAAUGGGGCAAGUGAUGAAUGUUACCCAUUGGAAAAAGAUUCCUCCACUUAUCAUUGGCUACUCCUCUAUCAAGUCUCUCUUUAACAUUUGUUUCUGGUAUAUUUCCCCUUUCCCAUGUGAACCAAGGCCCUAUGUACCCUAAAUCUUCCAAGUUGCAUUCUUCAAGAGUUUCUCUAAAAACCUCCAUCUGUCUUUCAUCUCUUAGUAAACUUCCUUUUUUCUCAAAAGAAUACAUGAUUUCAUUAAAAUCCCCACUCACAACCCAUGGAUAUGUCUGGUCUUGUCCCAAUUUUCGUAACAAAUUCCACGAAUCAUUCUUCAGAUUGACAUAAGGGGAACCAUAGAAACCUGUAAAUCUCCAUUCUUCAUUGUCAGUUUCUUCCAUAACCAUUGCAUCAAUAUGAUUCUUAGAAAAACUUCUUAAGGUAACCGUAAUCUCUUCUCUCCAUGCUGAGCAUAAACCACAUCGAGAACCUUCUACAUCUACAUCAAAUCCAUUCUGAAAACCACAUCUUCUUCUAACUUUCUCCAUACAUUGCUUGCUUAAUUUUGUCUCCAUUAAGAAGACCAUUUGGGGGUUUUGCUGCUUUAGAAAGUAUCGCAGCCUUCUAACUAUUCGUGGACUCCCCAAUCCACGAACAUUCCAAGUAAUGAUUUUCAUUGCGUUCGGCCGGCUUGCCUCUUGGCAGCCGCCGAUCCUAUGAGUAAAUUAGUAUCACUCUGUUGCAUAGCGUUUCCCAUCGUUUCUAGUAGCGUUUCUCCUUGUUCCUGUUCUCUAUCUUUUUUAGUCCUUUUGUUUCAACUCCAUAUUCAGCUUCUAUAUAGUAAGUCUCUACUAUUUCUUCAGUAGCUUUCCUCUUCUUGUUGCAGUUUCCAUCCUUUUGCUUUGCCACUUUAGGGCUGGAUUGACUCUUCUCCAAGUUGACGACUUUACUGAAUUGGGAUUACUGUCUUGACUUCUCCUCUUAUCAACCACUCACUCAUUGCUCAUAACUGAAUCUUCUUUUUCCUGCUUCUUCAUCUCCUCCUUGUUUUCAUUCACUAGUAGCUCCCCAUGCGUCAUCCCCAACCAAUUAUUUGCUUCUUCAGCUUUGCCAUCUUCAAUCAAAUCUGGCUCAGAGCCACCUGUAUAAAAACAUUGAACCCUAUUCUGAUUUAAAGAGUUAUUUAAUUUAAUACACUCUUUUCCAAGUAAGUUUGAUUCUGCUCUUAGUGCCAUCGUGUAUGGGGGAUUUUCUUUAAUUUUUGUUUUUUCUGCAGGAUUUAGUGAGUUACAACCUGAAAGUCCGUGCCCCAGCUUCCCACAUCUGAAGCAAAAAGUCGGUAAUUUUUCAUAUUUAAAGGAAAUCCACCAUUUAUUCUUAUUAUUCACUGAGACAAAAAUACCUCUUCGAAGGGGUUUCUGCACAUCGAGAUUUAUUUUUAGACGACACCAUUCUCCGUUGAUUUCAGAUCUGAUUAUCCCACCAAAAGUGACACCUAUGGCAUGUAGCAAGUCUUUUUUAUCAAAUUAUGGUAGACAUGGUCCUACCUUCAGCCAGACCGGUGAGGAGUUGAGCCGAAUCUGAGACCUUUCCACCGAUUGGGUAAUCCUGUCGAAAAGGAUUAGACUCUUUCGAAAUAACCAUGGCCUACCUUCCAUAAUCAAUUCUAAAUCCUCUUCCAUCUCAAACGCUAUCAAAAAUAGGUUUUGUCCUGCUGUUUGAAUCUCAAACUUCUUUUCUGUUUUCCACAAACUCUUCAUCUGUGCCCUAAAACUUUCCGGAUUGUAAAACUUCUCUGUCCAUAUUGUGCAGAUCAGGGUUGGUUUUUUAUUCGGAACUACCUUCGAACCUUUGAUAGAUAAUUGGAUAAGCUCUUCAGUUAAGAGUGAAAUCUCGUCCCUCUGCUCACUAUCAUCUCCACCGCUUUCCCCCAUCCCAAGUUGCAAAAGUGACUGCCUUCACUAGGACUCUCGGCGAAGCACUCUUGGAAAAGAAGUAACUAGGGUUUUUUUGUAAAAAAAAAAAUAUUACAAAUAUUUAACAAUGUAGAAUACUUUAAAUUGCUCUUAUUCAAAAAGACAAAUAGGGUUAAUUUAUCUAAAUAAUAUUAAAAAAUUAAAUAUUAAAAUAGAUUGUCAACUGGAUUAUAUACGAAAAUGAAUUUUUUUGGGUCGUGCCUAUCUGAUACGCGCAACAACUUUUUUAUAUUAAAAUAUCUUUUUACUUUAAAUAAAAUAUUAUUAUUUUAUUUUUAUUAAAAAUAUUUAAAUAUAUAUAUACAGGUCAAAAUACAGUUAACGAGUCAAAAUACGGGUUAAAAAUACCCAAGACCAGUCACGCCUAUCAGAUAGGCGUCACUGGUCGAGCCUGACAGGCAGGCGCCACUGCCUCCCCCCUGCGCCCCUCUGCCCCGCACAAAAAUAUACUUUUGUUAUUAAUUAUUAUUUAUAAAUUGUUUAUGUUUAGUGUUUAUGGUUUUGGGUUAAUAUUUGGUAUGAAUGUAAAUUUUUUUUAUAAUUAUUUUAAAAUUAAUUUGUUAGUAAUUUAGGAUUAUGUUAUAUGUAAUUAUUUUAAAAUUAAUUUAUUAGUAAUUUAGGAUUAUCUUAUAAAUUAUUGUGUUUAGUUUAGUAUUUGGUGAGUUUUUAAUAAUGUAAAAUUAUUUUUAAAAAAAUAAUUUUAUAGUUAUUUUGUUCAACCAGUCGCGCCUGUCAGAUAGGCUCCACCAGUUGCGCUUACUAGAUAGGUGCCACCUACCCCAUACCAUUUUUGUAUCCGGGAAAAAAAAAAUACAAACACCACGCCUAUGAGAAAGGAGCUGCCAAUAAAAUAAUAUUUAAAAAAAUAAAAAAUACUAUAAUAUAAAAAAAGAGGUUGCGCCUAUUUUAAUUUUUAUAUUAUAAUAUAAAAACAUACUAUUUUCGUAUAUAAUCCAGGUGAUAACCUAUUUCAGUAUUUAAUUUUUUUUAAUUAUUUAGGUAAAUUAACUGAAAGUAAAGAUUGCCAAAUCCCCGCUGGAGGAUGGAACAAAAAUAUGGUGGCCGGAAACACUCGAAACAGUGGUUCCAUACGCAACCAGAUCUGGCAUCCUACCCAAAAAACCAGCACAAAGGAUGAAAGAAGUGUCACUCCUCAGACCCGGUAGUGAUUCAAGUAUGAAGUGAUUGAAAACUUCAAACUUCAUGCAAAUUCUGCAACUUUACUGAAGCACAGAACAACAUUUUAACCAAUUGAAACGAUACAUCCGAACAUACCAAAUAAUUUUAUAUAUCAGUGUUAGAGUAUACGAUUUGGCCUACAUUGCUUAGCACUCAAAGUUAAUUACAUCAAGGGCAAAAAAUCAUCAGCGUCUCUAUCGGACACCACAUUUGUGUUCCUUUCGUGUAUAAUCUGAGCAAACCGUGUUCUUGAAGGAUAAAUUAAGCGUUGGUGAUCAUGAAAGCAAUCGUUGAUAUCCGAAUUUCUCGAUUUCGAGUAAUUUUAAGACUUCUUGACUGAAGCAUCCAAGUGAGCAGCAGCAACAAUGUCGGAUGGCAGAAGUUCUGAUGUUCUGCUGUUUCAGUUCAACAAAUUAAAACUGAUAAAUCCAAUAUGAAGAACUGUGUCAUAGGAAUGAAUCUGGAGACAACAAUAAACAAGAAGUUGUCAUCUACAGAUGAACCUCCAAACAUGCAAUGCAAAGGUGAAGCCAAACUUUAUGGUCCGGUGAUCUUGAUUUGGGCAAUCAAGUUUCAUUUGACUUGCAGCUUGUUAAACUGUUGACACAUAAUAUCAGUUGGUCAGAUUCGAAUGAACGAAUUAAUAUUAUCAGAAUGCAAGGGAUUUACAACUUCACCAACCUGCAAAGCCAUGAUGAAUUUUCCGAGAUAUGGUUGUUUCCUGGAAUUGAAAUCAAGACCUCUACGGAAACUGAAAAGAGGAUAAAGAUCCGAUAAAUACAACACAAAUAAAAGUAGCAUGAUGAAUGAAAGUAAGUAUGGAUGAACAAAAGGAAGCAAUGUAACACAGUAUACCAACAAGAAACCUGAAAAUUCCCAUACCAUGCACAAUCAUUCACUGCAAAAUCAAACAUUGAAAAUCUAGUUGUCAAUCUAAUCACUUCUCUGCGACAGACCUUCGAGAAAAUUACAGACCAUUUGUAUCACAAAGCAGCCUAUAAUUAGAGAAUUAUACUUCUAUCCAACAUUAGCCUUCAUAGUGAUGACCAAUUACAGGAAUUGGCUGCCUGUGACCUAGACCAGAAGCCAUCAUUUGAAAAUGUGAUACCUCCAGAUCCUGCAGUGCUCAGUCAAAGAUGACACAGCAUCAGAAUUGACAGGAACGAGACAGAUUAAGAAGAUUAGGGUUAAAAAUUUAAAGGAUGAUUCAAUUAUAGAACAAUACAAGCAAGUUAAGAAACAACCGUUAGCUAUACAAGUUCAUAAUCACGUAACCAAUGCCAGCGAUAAGACGAAACGAGAGCAUGAGCAUUUACCGUCUAAACUCUGAAGUCCUGCAAACAAAUUACUGAGCUAGAAUGAAGUUUUUGUCAGAUGGCUAGAGACAAAUCAACAAUAGUCUUGACAUGAACAAAUGCCGCUUUUGAAGUGAUGGAAACAAUUUGCAUCACGAACAACUAUCUCCUGUUUUAUGACACCAGAGACAAGCUUCAUAAAAUCAUGGCAGUCUUCACAUAUGUGCAAAUUUUUGAAUAUCCGAAUUGUUUUCACAGGGUUGAUGCUAAUAAGAGCAAAAGCAAGAGCUAAUCUUUCAUUAUGAUGAAAGAGCUGUUCUAAUUUUUCAUCAUCACUGACAUCAUUGAGUAUAUGAUCUGUCUUAGGCACAUAUCCUGCUAAAAUAGACUUCUCGACAAGCUCCUUCAAUUUUAUAUAGAUCUCCCCAUGUUUUGGAUGAAAACCAUCAGUGGACCUGAAGAUGUGCACUUGACCAUUGACCAUCACCCAACUACACCCAGGUUCUUUCUUAACACCACAAUGGGUCAUCAAUGCUCUGACUCUUCGGACAUCCUCCCACCUACCCUUGGCAGCAAAAAUAUUUGCUAGUAAUAUGUAAUGGGAGGCUAUACCAGGAUUAAGUUCGAAGAGUUUCUCAGCAGCACUUUCACCAAGUUUGUCAUUUCCAUGCAUUCUACAAGCCCCAAGAACUGUCUCCCAAAUCAAGGGAUUCGAUGUAACCUUCAUGUCCUUGAUAAAGCUUUCAACUUCAUUGAACUUGCCAGCUCGACCUAAAAUAUCAAUCAUACAGGCACAGUGCUUAAUUGUGGGUACUAUUCCAAAAACAUUGGUCAGGGAAUCAAAGUACUCUUUCCCUUCAUUUACAAAGCCCAUAUAACUACAGGCAGAUAAAACUGCUAUGAACGUAACCUCAUCUGGCUCAAGGCCUUUGUCUAACAUCAUCCUAAAAGUUUCUAAAACCUUCAAUCCUUGUCUAUGUUGCAGGUAUCCAAAUAACAUCGUGUUCCAUGAUACAGUAUCCGUUGACACCAUGCCCUGGAAAGCAGCUUCAGCUUCUUCUAUGCAUCCACAGUUAGCAUACAUAUCUACAAUUGAAGAAGAUACAAACAUAUCACCUGAAUUCCCAGCCUUAAUUGCCAUUGAAUGAAGCAGCUGCCCGUUUUCCAACAUCGCCAUAUUGGAGCAACUACUCAAACAGGUAGCAAGAGUGAAAUUAUUGGGCGUGACACCUUGCCUCUGCAUAUGAUUGAAGCACUUGAUAGCCUUCUCUGAACAAUCACUUUGAGCAUAACCAGCAAUUAAUGCAGUCCAUGAAAAAAGAUCCCUCUCAAUCAAUUGAGUAAAAAGUAGCUCUGCAUCCGCCAAGAAUCCAUUUUUGGCAUACAAGUCAAUAAGAGAUGUUCCCACUAAAUUAUUAUCCUUUAGGCCAUUCUUUAUUAUAUGGGCAUGCACUUGAUGUCCAAAUUUUAUAUUUAAAAGAUUGGAACAAGAUCUUAAAAUGCUAGUAAAUGUACAGAUAUCAGGCUUAAAACCUUCAGCAAGCAUCUUGUGAAAGAUACUUGGUCCUCGAUCACAAGUUUUACCAUUAUGAGAUCCAGAAAGAAGAGAAUUCCAUGAAGCUGAAUUCCAAGAACUCAUUUCCUUAAACACCCGCCAACCAUUUUGGACUGACCUGAUUUUCAUAUACAUUGCAAUAAGUGCAUUGCUCAAAAUGAUUUCAGAUUCAAAUCCAUGUUUAAAUAUACAAGCAUGAACGCCUUCACAAUAUAACCGAUCACCCAAAUUAGCAGCUACACCAGCAAUAGAGGCAAAAGUAUGCUGAUUGGGGCUUACCCCUUUGCAUCUCAUUAGAGAAAACAACUCAGCUGCCUCUUGAAUCUGGCCUUGCUCAUCAAGGCAGUCAAUCAUUGCACUCCAGGCUACUAUGUUGGGUUCUUGAAUCCUUUUAAAAACCUUAAGAGUAUCCUCAGCCAGUCCACAUUUUGAGUACAUAUCAAGAAGGCAACAACCAACAAAUUCAUCAUGCUCACACCCGGUCUUAAUCACCAAAGAAUGUGCAAUCAAGCCCCAUGUUAAGUUUACCAGGUACGUACAACUUUUGAGCACAUUUGACAAAGUAAACUUACUACACCUCAAUUCAGAUUCCGUCAUCCCUUGAAACAAAUUCAAAAUCUUUCCUGCAUCGCCCUUUAGAGCAUAUCCAUUAAGCAAUGCAUUCCAUGAUACAACAUUCUUUUUAUCCAUGAACAGAAAUACUCUCUCUGCCAGUUCCAUCUGACCACAUUUCGCAUAAAGAUCAACAAGAGAGGAUCCAACAAAAACAUCCAACAAAACUCCAACUUUAACACCUUCCCCAUGCAACAAUGUACCAAAAAACAAAUCCAAACUCAAAGAACAAGCUUUCAAAGCGGUCACUAAGCAAUGCCCAUUUGGCAGAACCCCAUCUUUCUUCAUAGAACAAUACAAAUCCAACACAUAAUAUCCAUACCCUUCAUUAACCAAACCAGAGAACAGAGCGGCCCAAGACACAACAUCUCUUUCAGGCAUUCUAUCGAGCACUUUACAAGCAUAUCCAAAGACCCCACGUUUUGCAUAAGCAUUCACUAAGGAGUUCCAUAAAUGCAAAUCAGGGUCAAUCCCAUUUUUUAUUAUCUUCCCAUGAACAGCUUUGGCUGAACUCAAAGACCCUUUUGAUGCGCAAUCAUGUAGAAUCUUAGAGUAAAGCUUUAACCUUUUAGAUCCUUCAAGCUUUGUUUUUUCUUUGAAAAGUGGGACUUUUAAAGAUGGGUUUAUCUCUUCUGUGGCAACAUGGGCAGUAAAAGAAGAAACAAACUGAAAUGAGGCAAAAAGCAACCUCCUGGGGAAUUCAAUGACAAGACGGUUUUUUCUUGUGGACAAACAUCGAAAAACAAGUGAUUGAAUAAGCAUUGAAACAAAAUAAAAAAUUAAAAAAUAGCUUGGGGUUUCAGAUUUCUUUGUGUAAAGAUAUCGAGUUUGAAGCUUUUAUCUCGCUGUUACUUCAGAUAUAACUGGGCUGGGCUACUCACGCAAGUACGAAGUAUCAUUCGAAAGCUCGAAAAAUUUAGAUAAAAAUAUUAAGUUUAAAAAUAGGUUUGAAUAAAAAAUAUUAAAUCUAUUUAAAAAUAUGAGCUAAAUUCGGGUUUGAGCAUUUAGAAUUUUUGAUUUGAUUAAUUUUUAAGUUUGUAAUAUUUUAUAUUAUAUUAUAUUUAUAUGUUAUAUAAUUUAGAAUACAUUAAAAAAAUAAAACUAUAUUAAAUAUAUAUUAUUAUUCUAAUAUAAACAUUAAAAUAAUGUUAAGAUAACUAUAUAAAAAUUUUCUAUAAAUAAAAAGUAUAUAAAAUUAUUAAAUAUUAAAAUAAAAUAAAAUAAAUAUCUUUUUAAAAAAUUUAAAAAUAAUAUGUCGGCCUAAAAUGGAUUUGGAUUAAUCUUUUACAAAUAUAGACAUAUUUGAAUAAAAUUUUAAAUUCAUAUUUCGAGCCAAAUCGAACUUGGACAAGCAUAAAAUAUAUUAAUAAUAUGCUAAAGCCCAAUCUGAUCUAGUUCAUGAACAACUCUAAUAAGAUAGCUAGGCUCCUUGUACUUGGUCAGCAUAGGUAGAAAAUGAGACUGCUUUCUCUCUUCAUUGAUUGUAACAAAGCGUGCUUUCAAAUGGUUUUUAGGCUUUGGUUCCAAAGUGACGCGUACUUUCGAAUGAAACGUGCUUUAUGAUAUUUUCUGAGCAUUUAUAAUAGUACCAAGUGCUAUUCCUAUUUUGGCAUUUCUAAUUUCUAGAGUUUUAGCCCCAGUUAAAAAGGGUCUAUAAAAACUUUUUAGUUAUGAAUUGGGUAUAGAACCAAUAGGCGAUGCUUGGUUACAAUUUCGAAUCCGUUUUUACAUGUUUGCUCUAGUUUUUGUUGUUUUUUUUUAUGUUGAAACGAUUUUUCUUUAUCCAUGGGCAAUGAGUUUCGAUGUAUUAGGGAUACCUGUAUUCAUAAAAGUUUUUAUUUUCAUGCUUAUCUUAAUUGUUGGUUCAGUUUAUGCAUGGGGAAAAGGAGCAUUAAAAUUAUCUUAAUUCCUGAAUAUUCAGAUAAUAAAAAGAAAGAAAAAAAGUAGGAUUCUAUCAAAUUUCCCUUAGUUUACUUUGAUGAAGGCUUGAAGUAAAGAGUUUGUAUUGUACCUCUUUAUUUGGACUUUGGUUCCGUUUGAACAGAUCCCUUGAAGUAAAGAAUUUUGUAAAAGUCUGUUUAAAAGAGAAGUUUCCUUAAAAUUCCCAAAUAUAUAUUACAUAGAUACGUACAAUGUGUGUCUCAAAGAAAUUAAAGGCUAACAAUGGUCUUUCCAAGCAACCAUAAAACAAGCGAUAACUCAAGGCCAAAAAUGGUGUGGAGUGUGCUCCUAUCUAGUACGAACCCAUAGAUUGUUAUCCCAGCUCGAUUGUUCUCAAAAUAAGUCACUGUCAUCAACCAAGAAUGAAACAGACCAAUAUCAUCAAGCAACUCAACACGUAUACUACUGUUAUGUUCAUGUUGACAUUGUAACAACCGAGUUUCAAGACGUCUAUCUCGAGUCACCCUAUGCAUCGGGAUCUAGCCGUCGCUUCCAAAUACACUAAAAUCCCGAUAGGCAAUGAGAAGGAAAUGUCCUAAAACCCAAUCGUUACAUGUAAUGUUCUUCGGAGUGACAUUAUUACCUAGAGCUUGUCUCUUUUGGAAUGAAAGGGUACUAUAAGCAUAAGACGGGAUCAUCUUGUUGUUGUCUAUGUCAUCUUCAUCACCAACGUCAUCUCCAUCGUCCGAUUCACCAUCCGUACCCACAUGAGGGAAAGGUUGAUGGCUCUGAAUGACAGACGGACUCCUCGGCAUAUCAUCUUCGUUCGCAUUGAGUGAAUCUAAUGUUGCACAAGCAUGCCACUUUGCCGCUAGGCAUGUAAUAGCUUGUGCUUUGUGAGUUAUUUUCGUUGCACUUCGUAAUAAUAUACAGAGUCCAGUGAGGAGAGUUAUAGAACACAACUACAACAACAAAAAAAGGGCACUCAUCCAACAAUGUGUUAACCGUUUUGAUCCGAAAAUCUCAUGGAUAGAUAAAUGAACACUUACAGCAAGUUCUCCAGCUUUAUAAAAAUUCAGUGCAGAAGUAGCCUUUGUAGUGAUAAGCAAAGAAGUGAAUUGGCUGCCAGUGAUCAAGAUCAGGCAACAUAUUAUAAACGCGCGAUAUCGAUGGCUGAUGAUCCUCAAAUGCCUCCUGAUCCGCAGGUGUUCGGACAAGACUGAACCAACAUCAGAAUCAAUUUGGAAAACCUGAGCAAAGUCGCGGAGUCGGAGAACCUGGAGAUUGCAAAUAAGGUGGAAAAGAACACACACAAGGAAGAAGACAGUCGUCCGGUAAAGCCACGAGCACAGCUCCGUAAUGCAGGCAACCGUGUCACUGAGCCAGACAAUGCCUAGGAAAGGAAUUUGUGAAGCACCUGAGGCAUACCACCAUACUUUGUAUGCAGUCUCAGCUAUGAAACAUGGAAGAACAAAGACUGCUACAAUUUUCAGUGAUCUCUGCAUAUAUUAUACAGUAAAAUUCAAUCACAUUAAUCUAUGAAUUGAAAGUUUUUUUCAAUAUCAUCCAAAAGGAAGCAACCUAGCAUUCUACAUUUUCUUGUAGCCAUAUGAAAUUGAAAUUCUCAAAGGAACUGAAACUACAAAAUUCUAAACGUUCUUACCUAUCAAUAACGAAAGAUUCAGACAAUAACAAAAAAAAAAAAAAAAAACCAGAAAUUCAUUCAAAUCCACAUAUGAAAACUAUUCUAAAAAUUGCAAUUUAAAGAAACAAAAAAAAAAAAAGGGUCAUGAAUUUGAAGGGAAAGAAUGAAAGAAUACUUACAUUGAGCUGACCAGUGUAUCCUUUCCUGACAGCUUCACUUUCAACAUAAAGCUUAUCAAAAAACAAGAACCGUUUCAAACCAUAUGUCUUGACAAACCUCGUCAAACAAACAAAAGACAAAGCUGAAACACUGCUCAAAGACAGCUGAACCACCGAAUCAUAAGGCCUUGCAUGUUUAGCAUCACAAGUGGAACAAGCCAACCAAAAAUGAGACACAGAUGGGACAACAAGCCCCAAAAAUAUGAACAAAAACCAAGACAAACAAGUUGUCCAAAUGUUUGAUUGAUCAACACACAUCCAUUUUAGGUAUGUUCUAAAGCUUUGUAACUCAUCUUUUGCAUGAGAUAUGCUUCUUGUGAACUUCUUAGUCCCAUCAUCCACCAAAGGUUCCAUGGUGUCUCCCAUCAAGGGGAUUUGUGGGAGAAUUUGAAGAGUUUGGGGGGAGGGGGGAUUUGUAAGUUUUGUUGGAUUUAAGAGGGGAGGAUGUUGUGAUCCAAUCAGAGGAUAACAAGUGUUGGAAUCGAGAGAGAAAAGAGGACUCAACUUUUCUUCUAUUUUCCAGGAAAAAGUUUUGGGAAAAAUCUAUCAGAAAAAUUAUUUUCUUUUUUUUCCUGGUUUUGACUGUACAUUACAAUUAUACAAUUAUUUUAUAAUAAUCAUUCUUAAUUGUGAAUUUCUGUCUAAAUCUGACGUUGGUCCUCAGAUCAAGCAGGCAUUGUUGAAAUUAUACCUGAAAAUUAAACGAUCUAAUCUAAUUUAUUUACAUUAUAUUAUUUUUUAUUAAAAAUGUAUCAAAAAAUGUUGAUUUUUUAAAAAAAAAAUUUACUGGACUAAGUUGAUCUUCAGAAAAAUUACGGGAUUAGGUCGAAAAAAUAAAAACACUUCCAGCUAGAAGCAUUUUCAGCGGAUUUACAGAGAAAUGCUUUUAGCUGGAAGCGUUUUCCAUAACAGCUACCCCACCCCAACGGUUAGAAAUCCAUCUCAAAGCCGUUUACCCCCUACGCUCUUUUCCUUUCCUAUAUAAACCCCCUAAAUUCUAUUCUUUUUCAAUUCAAUCUCAUCUCAACUUUCUCUCACAUUCUCAAUUUUCUCUCAAAUCUCUUUUAAAGUUCUCUCAAUUCUUUCUUGAUUCUCACUCAAUUUUUAUUCCUCUCUCAACUCUCUUUUUUUUUAUUAAAAUUUUAAUAAGGUUUUCUUAAAUUAAUUUUUUUCAUAUUUAUUGAAAUUAGUAAGGUCAAAGUCUCUAAUUCGCUUGGAUGACAAGCACAUUUCGGUCGAUUAAUUGCAAAUGGUAAGACGUUUUUUUACUAUAUUUAGUCUAAUUUAAUUUAAAUAUUUUGUUAUUAUACUAAAAUUUAAUAUUUUGUAUUUUUUAUAUAUAAUCGAAAGAUCAGAUUUUGGAGACAUAUAUUUGUAUUCUACUCGUUCCUCCAUCGUCUUUAAUCAAACCAUAUUUGAGAGAUGUGAGAUUUUUGCACGUAGCCCGUAUGGGUAGGGGGUGUAAAUUUGACCCUACACUUAUAAGCAUGUUGGUGGAAAGGUGGAGACUUGAGACACACACAUUCUAUCUUUCAUGCGGCGAGUGUAGUAUCACACUCAAGGACUUGCAGUUACAACUCGAGUUAUCGGUGGAUGGGUCGGUAGUGACUGGGUCAAUUGUCGCGGUCGAUUAGAAAAAUGUAUGCGCGCAACUUUUAGGAAGGGUCCCAGGCAUGAUUUAUGGAGCUUGGAUAGAUAUGAAUUGGUUGAAAAAAAAAUUGGUGGGCUCGAUGAGGAAUCGGAUGAAGUUUAAAGAGAACAACAUGCUCGGACGUACAUCCUUAUGAUCAUCGAGGGUCUCCUAAUACCUGAUAAAUCAUGAAAUCUUGUCAAUUUAAGGUAACUGCUAAAACUUGUAGACUUUAGAGAAGCGAGCAAACUUAGUUGGGGGUCAGCUGUAUGGGCAACAUUGUAUCAGGAGAUGUGUCGGGCGACAAAACCACAGAAAAUUAAAAUCGGUGGUUAUAUGCUACUGCUACAAUCAUUGGAGUGGUAUCGACUUCCAUUUUUACAUCCUCGAGCGGACUACCCUUAUACAUUCCCACUCAUAACAAGGUUAAAUUCAUUAGAGAAUAUAUUUAUCAUAAUAAAAUUAUUUAAAUUUUAAAUUAAUGUGUUAACAUAUUAUUUCAAUAGAUGGAACCAUGGGUCAAGUUAUGUGAGACUACCGGAGGAGCUUCAAGAUGUACAACUUAUGUCAGAUCAACGACCGGAAGUAGAGGUAUGUGUUUUUUAAAUUUGAAUUAUAUAAUAUUAACGUAUAUCUAAUUAAUAGUAUAUAUAAUUAAUUUUUUAUUAUUUUAAUAUAGUUUGAGUAUACGCCAUACUCCGAUAUGAGAAUUUAAGAAUGCAUCUCGUUUGAAUUCUUGGUGAAUCCCAACAUCUGGCACGUGAAGGUACCACUGGUAGUGUACACUACGGUGGAGAUACACGAAUUAGAUGUAGUUAUGCCACAGUUUAGGUUUAGGCAAAUGAUUCCGCCAACACCCUAAGACAUCGACAAUCUGCACCAUAUUGACUUGCGGGGGAGAAUCGAUGAAAUUGGCCUACAUUUCACGCGGAAUAUAUCAAUGUUUGGAACCAUAGGUAAAACUUUUUACCUACUCGCGAACUCAUUAUUUCUUGGGAGUUAGCCUACGAUUCAGAGUACAUGUCAUGGUUUAGACACCAUGACAAGCCAUAUCUACUAGCGGAAGAGACGAAGGGUAGGCAACGUUAUGAGAAGAGACCACGAUGAACGCCUGGGCAUCCAAGGUCUGGAACAGCUGUCGAGUUGGAUCCAUCAUCUACACCAAUGCAAGGACAUGCAUUGAUGACAUCACCACCCCCCGAUCAGUAUGGCUCGACUUAUUUUGAUGUUUUCACUAACCUCGUCAUUUUUAUAUAAGCACCACAUCUUGCACCAUAUUUGUUUGUUUCUACAUCGACUUCAAGUAUUAUUUUUAGACCACCACCUCCAUCACACGCAUAUUACACGUCGAUGCCAUCAACAUUUCAGACGACAACAAUUCUGACGGUGACGUAUAGGCCGUCUAUAUUUGGGGCACCGGCGGAAAGUCUGAUUAUUCAGCCAUCGGUGUAUGAGACACAAUAUGGUUAUACACCUAUGUUGAUGGUGUCACAAACACCUCCAGAAUCAUUGUUCCACCAAGGUGGACCAUCUUCACAACUAGUUGUGUAACAGCCCAUUUUUAGUGGUAUGUCAGAAACAGUGAUUUUAGGACCACAAUUUCGAUGAGUGAAUUAUUAUUUUGUUAUUUAUUUAAUGUCUACGAGAUUAUAUUAAGAUCGUAUUAAAGUUUUGUUAAGACAUUUUGAUGUUUAAACAGAUAAUUAGAUAAAAAGGACUAAAUUGUAAAAGGUGUAAAAGUUGAAUUGUAUUAGUUAAAGGGGUCAAAUGGCUAUGAAAUUUUAAUUUAAUGGACUUUAAUGAUAAAUAGACCAUUUAAUUAGUUAUUGGAUAGUUAUGGAUAAUUUUUUAUUGAAAAUUUGAUAAUUUUUAAAGGUUAAAAUGGUAAUUGAAUAAUUAAAAGAAAAUUUAAGUAAAGAAAGAUGAAACAAAGUCAUCAUCUUCUUUCUUUCAUUUUUUUUUCAACCAAAAAUCCAUGGGAGGAGAGCUUGAAGUUCCAGCUAGGGUUUAAUUUAUGCAUGUAAGUGAAUUCAAGCUCUGUUUUUAUUGAUUUUUAUGUUUUUGAGUUCGUUUUAGCUUAAUCUCGCUAGCCCGAGGAUUACUUUGCAAAAAUGUUAAAGAUUGAGGGAAUUUCCAUGGAUUUUUGAAUGAUUUUUGAUGUUAGUUGAUAGAUUAUGAAUCUUUAUUGUAAAAUAAACAUGUUUUGUUAAGUGAUUUUUGGUGAAAUUAUAUUUAGGGAUUAAAUUGUUAAAAGUAUAAAUUCAUGGAUUUUAUUGUGAAAUUUUGGUAAUAAUAGGUUGUUUCAAGGUCCCUUGUAACUUUGGUUAAGUUGGAUUUAGGUUAAAAUGGUUAGAUUUAAAGUUAUGAGCUUAUGGACUAAAUUGUGAAAAGUUAAAAUGUUAGGGGAAUUCAUAAUUUUUCAUAAAUAUGAAUUAUGGAUUAAAUUGAAUUAUAGAGGUACUUAAUUUAUUGAAAUUAUCAAUUUAGAUCAAGAUAAAUCACAAUCGGGCUUAAAUCGAGGAAAAGCUAAAGCUUCAGAUUAAUUUGACUUUACUUUUACGCCCUAAUUAUCAAGGUAAGUUCGUAUAAACUAUGAUCAUUUUAAUGUUAGUUAAAAUGACUAUUUGCUAUGUUUUUUUUUAAUAUAAAUGAAUCAAUAUGUAAAUGUAUCCAUGUUAUGAUGAAUUGACGGAUAACAAGUCCCGGUUGAACCUUAAGAAUUCUUACGAUACAAUUACAUGUCAUUAGAGAUUUCAUAUUUCGGGUGCUAGUCUUGAAUGUCCUACCAAUGGCUGAGGUCCUGCAUUUGUUGCGGAUUCUCCACAACUCAUGUGAGUAGCAUCGUGUAGCUUACAUUCCGACCUACAGCUCGUGUGAGCAUUGAUGUAAAGAAAAGGUUACGGUUAUAUGUAAAUGCACACUAUGUGUGAGCUUUUCUGAGUAUCUGAUGUAAUUCUAGAUGGUUGAACGGGUAAGAAAAGGAAAUGAAAUGGUAAGUAUGCAAAUGGAUUGAAUGAUGAUAUUAUGAAAAGAUUUAUGAGCUAAAGGAUGUUAUCUACAUAUAGAAAUUUACUUAUCUUAUGGUUGAAUUCAUUUGUAUCAUGAACAAGUGUACUAACUUGUGAAUUUGAUGAUGUUGUAUAGGCUUAAGCUAAGCUUAUGGUAUUGGUAAUGAUUUAUGCUUAAUCUAUGAAUUGUAAAAAUGACAUGGCAAGUUAUGUUUAAGUUUAUAUGAGCUUACUAAGCUUUCGUUGCUCACGUAGUUUCUUUCCUUUGUUUUGUAGAUUAUCGGAAGCUCGACCGGUUGAAAGCUCAUCGGAGACCUAUCACACUAUCCAACAACUAUUUCGAUAGAUUUUGUGUAUUUUGGCCAAGGUUAAUAAUGGCAUGUAUAAGGUCUUGUAAUGUAUGUUUUGGUGUGUUUAAGCUUUUGAAGUUGUGUUGGUUUGGUGCACUUUGAUGCCUUGCCAAAUUAUGUCAUUUUGGUCACUUUCAAGUGCUUGCAUUUAAAGUAUCUAUUGGUGUGUUUGUAGUGUUAUGAAAAAGGUCAAAUGUGGUGUUAUGUGGUAGCCAAGGAACUAAGCUUUUAUACUUGCAAUAUGGCAAUGUUGAAGUAUUUUGAUAAUUGAUGUUUUGGUACAAUUGUGGUGCCUUUGAAUGACAUAUUGGUUAGGUGAUUUAGGAUAUUUGAAAUGGUAUGUUUAUGUGUGUUUGGAUAGUGUUUGAAUCCCUUAAAUGUGUGUUCAAAUGGUUUGAAUGGUUAAUUAUGAAAUGGAUUUGAAAUGGCUUGUUUUUAGGUAAAUUUUGGGUUCACACGGCUUGGGACACAGGCUAUCACACGACUGUGUGACACACAUGGCCUAGUGACACGGCCGUGUGUUAUUUGAGAGUUUCUUAGUGCUUCAAGUUAUUGAGUUACACAGCCUAGCACACGGGCGUGUGGGGCAACUCAGUGAGUUACACAAGUGAGAACACGGGCUGGGACACGGCCGUGUGUCCCUUGUUCGAAUGUUACACGGCCUAAGGUGAUGUCACACGGCCAUGUGACCCCUGUUUUCUAAAUUUUGCAAUUUUUUCUUAAAACUUCUAUUUUAUUACAAAUUAGUCCUGAAUUGUUUCAAAGCUAUUUUUAGGGCCUCGAAGGCUCGAUUUAGGGACAAAAUGCAUGAGAUUGAAUGGUUUAUAAUAUGAGUUUAAUUUAUUUAAAUAUUACAAUGUUAAAUGUUUUCGAUUGUACGGUAAUGCUUCGAAACCCUAAUUCGGUGAUGGAGACGAGUUAGGGGUGUUACAAGUUGUUCCUAGAAUAGAAGAUACACGAUGGCAACCGAGGAGCACUCUGCAAUCAACUACGGAUGAAGGCGAAUAAUAUGAGAGGCUGAGACCACAACGUGUACUUGAAGGUAGACGUAACGAUAAAAAUGAGGAAGUCGGUAUAUAGCUUGGGUGAAGAAGAAAUAUGACUCGCAACUGACAACCACCCCGUUGUGGUACACAUAGGAGCGAACAGAACUUGAUUCGACUUGAAAAAAUAAAAAAAAAUGUUCAAAUUUCGAGUUAAAUGAAUCGAGUUGUUCGAGUCAACUCAAUUUUUUUUCAAAUUUCGAGUUCGAUUCGAGUUUAAUUUUCGAAUUUGAAUAAACUGAAUAUCAAAGUAUAAUAUUUUACAUUUUUACCCCAAGCUCUCAAACCUUUUUACUUUACCCCCUAAUACUUUUACUCCCUCCCACUUUCCCUUAAAACUUUUACUCCCCUCCCAUCUCACCCCCAUCUACCCGAAACCCAUUUUCCCCCCAUUUUUUUUUGAAUAUUCCCCCCAUUGACUUUCCCCCCAAAAUUUUACUCCCCCAACUCUCAACACUUUUUAUUUUACCCUUAAAUUUUUACUUUUCACCUUUUACCCCCAAAUAAAAAAUCAUACAAAAAAAUCUCUAAACUUAAAUAAUAAUUUUAUUUAUAUAUACUAUUUAUAUUAUUAAAUGAAAUUUUACAUUUUGUACUAUUUAUAUUAUUGAAUUGUUUAAUCAUAUUAAAUUUUUAUAAAUUUUUGUUAAAAUUGAAUUAUUGAUGAUGCCAUAAAAUAUUUGAGUUAAAAUUUUAUAUUGGUAUCAAUUUCAUAUUUUAUCUUUAAAAUAACUUUUAUUGAAAAAUUAAUUUUUUAUAUUUAAUAUAUUUUUUAAUUUCAAAAUACAUAGUGACAAAAAUCAGAAGAUAAUUGAAGCAACUAAGCAAGCAAAAAAGUUAACCCGUAUAUAAAAUAUUAAUAAAAAUUAUGAGGAGAUGAAAGUUAAUAACAAAUUUUAUUAUGGUGGGAAAAUUUGAUUACAGUGGUGACAGUGGUUAUAAGGACCCAAAGUCAUUUUUUUAAAUUUAACUUGAACAAAUAUAUUCGACACGAUUCAAAUUCCACUCACUCGACACGAUUCGAGAAAAUUUCAAAUUGAGUUAGGAUGAUAAAAUAGGAUUCGUCAAUUCGAUUAACUCGAAAUUUUUUCAUUCGAUUCGAUCGAACGCUCGCGCCUAGGUACACAUUCUGAUCGAGGAUAUGAAUGAUUUUUUUUUUGUACUUCUCAAGUAAAUUUUAAUUGUUUAGUUAAGUUAUAGUCGAUAAGAUUGUAACGAUAUUGGAUAUGAAAUGUUUUUAAAUAAAUAUCAUUUUAAAAUCAAAAUUGUUUUCAUUGUCAUUUUAUAUUGUAAAAUCAAGUCUACAUGAGAAAAAUGGAACAAAGUUGUAUAUUGUAUUUCUCUCUAUAGUAUAAUAAAAAUGCGUAUUUAAAAAUUACAAAAAAAUUUGAGUAUGAAUGAAAAAAUCAACAAAUAAGUUUCAGUUAAAAAAUUAAUAAAUCGGUUAAUGAGGUAUUGUCCUUAUAAUAUCUCAUCGGUGAGGACAUGACAAUAUUGUAUACCCUAGGUAGAUGUCGGUCGACCUUUUGGUUUGUAAUGCAAUGACUUAUUGGGUAACAACUUGAAUGGAGCGCUCGAUACCGGCAACCACAUACUUUUAUCUGGGGCCGAUGGGAAUACAUUUCUCCACAUGUUAUACAUGUGUUCUAGUUUAUCAUCAUGUAUUGUUUCAUCUACGAUAUGUACAUUUUGUCCAUAAAGCUUUGUGAUCUAAACUUACGGAGGAACAUGCUGCAAUUGCAAAAGCACAUGGGAAACGAAGUGCAUCAAAUCUCCCACAGUUGUAGGUCAGUUGUCUCCGAUGUACAUGGUACGCUCCCCCGACAAUACCUUGAUUGGGUCUGUCGAACUCUGUAACUCGAAACAAAAGGUCUUUGCAUGAGUGACACACUAGAUGCAUACAGUUCGCUCGUACUGUAGCCUUCCUAAUUUCUUUCAUAAUGUCCUUACACCAAACAUGGUAUUCCUUCAUCUGUCCAACAUAUUUUUUCAUUCCCUUUGGAAAAAGUUCUGCCAAAUGAAAAUAUGUUUCUUUCACAACCAAAGUUAUCGACAAAUGAUGUGUUCCCUUCAAUACAAAAUUGAUGCAUUCCACUAAGUUUGUCAUCAUGUGCCCAUAUCGUAAACCCUCGUCAUAUGAUUGUGUCUACUAAUUGAAGGGUAUGUUAGAGAGGUACCUUACCCCGACACUAUUAAUGGCCUGUAAGUUUUCCAACAUUUCAUGAAAAUGGUGUUUGACGAGCUCAUACCCUGUCGAGAAAAGUGAAUAGUUUAUUCAUAAUGCCCAACAUCUGCUAGCCAGUUAAAUAUUAAACAAUUGAAAUAGUGGCUAAUACAUACCCAUGUUAACCACUUGUGCGCUCUGAGCUUCAAAUUCGUACUAUCUGUGGUAGUUCAUCGCAACAUGUCUUAAACAAUAUUUAUGGUGUGUUCGGUCCCAAAGGCUUCUCUAUCAUUCAAUUGUGGCCAGUAUUCCAAGUCCCUUGUCAAAGAUGACACAUACAUCGAGUUGGGGGCAAACAUACCUCCUCAACCUAGACAAGAAGAAAUCUCAAAUCAUUUGCCUUCUUUGACGACAUUAUUGCAAAGAAAAUUGGCAGGAUUUUUUAUUUUCAUCCUAUGCCACAACCAACAACAACAAUCGAUACGUAUAUCUCCCGUUAAUAAAGAGACCGUCGAUUUGUACUAAUGGCUUGCAGUAUUGGAAUGCUUUUCGACAUUGCUUGAAAUCCCAGAAGAAAUGAUGGAACACUCGACAUCUAUGGACCAACCGAUUAUUAUAAUACACAGGCAUUAUUUGUAGAUCGGUUAACUCAUCCCACCCAUUAUGUAUCUUCUCCAAUGCCUUCUACUUUGCAAUCCAUGCCUUGUGGUAUGAUGGUGUGUAAUCGUACUAGCUACGGAUAUUUACAAUUAAAACCGACACAACAAUCAUUGGACUUGUUUUCACCAUAUUUAGUAUUAUUUUCAGGAUCAUCUCCGAACCCAAUUUCAGAUGAUCUUGUGAAAUACCUGCAACAACACGAGUAUGUUAAAAUUAGGAAUUCUACCCCAAAUAUAAGAAAAUCUUAACACAGUACCUAUGAUAACACACGUAUGCGGAACGAUAUAUUUUUUAUGGUCUAUAACCCAGUCUUCUUAUUAACAGAAACCAUGAUUUUCCAUGCACAUUUCGCUUUGAAUUUGUCAGAUCGGGAUUUAACAAAAUGGAAGUUUAUCCCAUUUUUUAAGUUGUAUCACUUCAUUACAGUGACAAAACCAUCUUUAAAGGAAAACUCCUUCCCCACUUCUAAAUCACCCGAAUUCAACAAAGAACUCGCAUAGCUCGAUCUUUUGUGUGGGAAUUUUACAAACUCCAAUCCAUCUUCUGCUAAAAGGUCCACAUUAUGCAUGUAGGUCGGUGGUGAGUACGUCAUGAACUGUGAAUCUUCUUCGACAUAUUCGCCCGGACCUUCACCAUCUGAACCUCCAUAUUUUAGUUUAGUUGGAACCAGCUUUGGGUCAGAAAAUAAUGCAAUUUCUAAACCAUCAGCCCCGGGCUCCCAGAUUGGAUUGGCAUCAGAUUCAGUGCCCUCUUCAUUCUCAGCCGCACCAGUAUCUCCGGGGUUGGAAAUCCCCUCGUCGGUGGAUGUCAUAGGGAGUACAUCAUCCCUUAUUGUAUAGUUCUCGAAACAACCAAACCACCUAUUGAUUACCAACCGUUGGAACUUGAUGUCAUUCUCCUAUAGGUGUUCCCAGUAUUAAACAUCGGCUGAUCGAAGCUGAAAUCAAAACCACUAACUGAGUGUCGCAUGGGGGUCCAGUAUUAUUGGUUACUGCCAAACCCUGUAAGAUUUCCCACUUUCAACUCUUACAAUUUCCCACUCACCCAUCAUAUAUCUCGGGAUUCUCGAGAUAAUAUUUUCUAAAAAAUUCUGAUCGACCUCAACCUCCCCUAAGCUAUAGGUGAUCAAAACUCAGUUACAUUCGAAAAAAUUGAAAAAAUUUACAAACUAAAAGUUAAUCGAAUUGAGUAGUUCAAGCUUUGAUUUUGAAUCGAAUUAAAUUUUACAAUUUGAAUAAUUCAAAUAUACGAUUGUUGUAAAUAUCAAAUUAAAUAAUGUUAACUUUACAAGUCAAAAAAAUAUAAAAAAGUCUAAAGAAUAUAUAAAAAAUUUUAAAAAUAUAAAAACCCCUAAAUCCUAAAACACUAAAACCUACAAAAUCUUAACCCUAAAUUACUUUAACAAAAAUCAAAAUCCUAACCCUAAAAAAAUAACCUUACCAAAAGAAAAAUGCUUCCAGCUGAAAGGUUUUCCUACAAAUCCAUUGAAAACGCUUUCAGUUGGAAGAGUUUUCGUAUUUUUGGCCUAAUCCCGUAAUUUUUCAAAAACCAGCCUAAUUCGAUAAUUUUUUUUAAAAAAAAUCGACAUUUUUUAGAACUUCAUUCUCUGUUGACAUCAUUACUGUUACAAUAAUUAAAAAAUAUAAGUUGGAGUGAGUUUAAAAGAAUAUUAUCUUUUAAUUUAAAAAUUAAUAAAAUUAUAGGUAGGUUACCACAAAGAUCCUUUUACUUCUUUUUGUUUUCUUUUCUUGUCAUUUUUAUGUGUUUUUUUAUGGCUAUUGGUAUCAAGGAUGUUUUCAACAUGGAAGUACUAUCAAUGAAACCGUAGAACUUGAGUUUGAGAUGUUGGACUUAAUUAGCAAUUGAAGUUAAAGUGAAUGAAAGGGAUUUGAGAACUUUCUUAGUUGGUUAUUAUUGAUUGUGUGAUAUCUAGAGCCCGCUUUUUACUAUUAUUAGUAUGGUUCCCUACCAAGUUUCAUGUUGGAUUAAUUGUUCUUUUAUGAGUAAAUUUUGAAGGUUCAAAUAUAUUUUAAGUCUUCAUACUUUUCAUGUGUUUAGAAGUUAGUCUUCAUAUUUUUAAUUUUAAGAAUUUAGUUCCUUUAUUUUUUAAAUUUAAAAAUUAAGAUUUAAUUGUUAAUACUAUCAAAUUCGAUGGAUUUCCGUUUUGAAAUUAAAAAAAAAACACUCACACGGUAACUAUGUAACAAAAAAAAAAACAUUGCAAUGAGCGUGAAUUUAACAGAUAAUUUUAAUGGUAUUAAUAACUCUUAAAAAUUACAUCGUCAUUUUAAUCGAAAUUAAGGUUUUUGGGCUAACUAAUAACAAUAAAAAAGUCAAGGUACCAAAUCAUAUCAAAAAGUUAAAAUAUAAAAAUUAAAUCUUAAAUUUAAGCAAGACCAAAAUAGAAAUUUAAUUAUUAUAUAAUUUAUAAAAAAAUAAACUUAUUCCAACUCAUCAUGCUAAAAGAAGUUUUUUGUUAGUAUUGUUUAAGAAAUCUAGGUCAAAAAACUAAUUAGAGUAGUCAACAAAAUUAACAAAUUGGACUAAAUAUUAUAAAAUUAAGACCAAAUUAUUGUAGAAUUUAUGAAUAAGAAUUAAAUCUUAAUUUUAGGUAUAAUAGAGGGAUGAAAAGUGAUAUUUGGCCAUUAUCCUAUGAAAGACAAAAAAAAAAAAUGAAAGUGGGAAGCAAGGAGAAGCCAAAAUUUUUUUUAAAGGGGCCGAAUGAAAUUUUAAUUUUUAAUAGUCUAUAUUUUUAUAAUUUUUAAAGAAUUAAAUCAAAUUUUUAUAAUUUUAGGGGGGCCAAAGUAUAAUAUUACUUUUACUAAUUUAAAAUUUUAAAAAUUUUUAAAGAGCCUAAAUAACAAAUUUCCUUUUAGGGGGGGUCGGGGCCCCUGCCAGCCCCCCUAGAUUCGCCUCUAGUGGGAAGGUUUAAAACGACCUUUGAGUUAUUGAUAAAGAGACUUUAGCUUAUUGAGAAGGAAUUAGAAGAUUAUGAAGUAGGAGAAAAUUUAUUUUUGUUUGUGUUUGANNNNNNNNNNNNNNNNNNNNNNNNNNNNNNNNNNNNNNNNNNNNNNNNNNNNNNNNNNNNNNNNNNNNNNNNNNNNNNNNNNNNNNNNNNNNNNNNNNNNNNNNNNNNNNNNNNNNNNNNNNNNNNNNNNNNNNNNNNNNNNNNNNNNNNNNNNNNNNNNNNNNNNNNNNUAAAUGGUUGACCCAAAUUCAUUUUAGUACACACUCAUAUUGUUUUUAAAAUCUUUUUUAAAAAUUUAUUUAUAAUAUUUUAAUUUAAUAUUUAAUUAUCUUAACAUUUUUUAUGUUUACAUUAUAGUAGUAUUAUAUAUUACUACAAAUUUAAUUUUUAUGUGUUAUAAAUUACAAAAAAUAUAUAAAAAUAACAUAAUAAUGAGGCCGGUCAAGCCGAGCUUAGGCCUUGAAUAUUCAAGUCCAAGCCCAAAGACAACUUAUAUUUUAAAUGAGAUUAUUAUUUUUUGUUCAAGCCUAUUUUUCGAAUUUAAUUUUUUACCUAAAUACUAUCAAAUUUUGAAUGGACCUUCAAGCGUUAUUCCAAUUUGACCCUAAUUUUUUUAAUCCUCAAUAUUACAUUUUGAGUCAAAUUAUUUUUUUUAAUAAAAAAAAUACAGAUUGAACCAUUAAAAUUUAACAGUGUUAACAUGACAAUUUGAGUAGAUAACGAUUAAAUGAUGUGGCAAAAACGAAAUGAAGAGUUGGCAUUGUAGUCGAGGAAGUGGAAAUCUAGAGUAAAGGAAUGAAAAGAAAAUAUAGAAGCUUCAUGCAAAUAAGAAGAAUAACCACAUUCAAAGUCUAUUGUGAGAAGGACGUACCAAUUUAUUAAAAUACAUUGUUAUGUAUAGAAAAUAGAGAAUGGUCUCUGUUAAGGAUCGGCCCGAUUAAGCAAUAAGUAACAAAAAUAGCAGAAUAAAUUAAGAAAUUAAACAUAUAAAUUUAACGUGAAAAAACCCCUCCAAAGAGGAUAAAAAAUUACGGGCAAAGAUAAUUUUACUAUAAUGGCAAAAGAACGAAGAGUACAAAAGAUGGAGAUAAAACUAAACCCAAAAAACUCGAAAACAAAAAACUCUCAAAACGUAAAUGUAAGAACCCAUUUUUGCCUGGACCCAUACUAGCAAAAUAAGCCCAAAUAAUAAAAACAAAAACAGUCCAUUUUCAGCAAAUUUAAGCACAAAACCCAAUUAUGCCAGCCCAAUACAACCCUAGCCCACAACAAAAACUUUCAGCAGCAAAGGGAGCAAACCCUAACCCUCUCCAGCGCCCGCAUGCACGCCCCUGCCCUUGGGCGCCGCUCCAACUCCCCGCACGCCGCCGCCGCACUUCACCACGCUCGUCUGGCACCUGCAAAGAAUUUAAUGCAAUAACAAAUGAAGAAGCACGCGGGCAAUAAUAGUAGUUAAUAGAUAAUAAGGAAGAGAAAAGCAUUUUGAUUCGGCUAUAAAAGCCCGAAUCUCACCGUUGUACUUUUUUUACGAACGCACAUCAAUUAAUCAAAAAUCAAAACACAGAUUUUAAAGGUUAAAAAUCUGAUCGUUUUCUUUUUUCUUUUUGUUUUUCUGUUUGCUGUUUUCUUUUUAUUCUUAUUAUUAUUUUUUGUUUUGUUCAUCUCUUUUACAAAUAGUUUUAACAAUAAAUAUAGAAUAGAAAGAAGGGGAAAGAAACGCACCUAGAUCACCGGUGGCUCCGUCGACGGAUGUCUUCUCGCCGUCGUCGGAAUCGGGUCUUGAAGUGGGUUUAAUGCUCCUUCGGUCCCUCGGAUUGGAAGCCUGACUCUCUGAUACGCCCCCAUUUUCUUCGCCGUUGGCCUUUGGUCACGGCGGCUCCAAGGCCGAAUUUUUUGGGAGAGUUGAGAGAAUGAGGGUUUAGUUUUUUAGAAAAAAAUGGUUGCAGGUGACAGAUUUUUGGGGUUUAAAU